GGGUACGAGAAAUGGCACCAAUGCCAAUACUUUUUGGAGGGAUUACUACCAAAUGUGCAAGAAUGGCUAAUGGCAACAAGUGGAGGAGAGCUAAUGUCAAAAAGUGCAUCAGAGAUUUGGGAAUUUUUCCAGCGACAAGCGGAUAAUUCCCAACAACGGAGUCGAUCACUCAGGAAUACUAGAAGAAUUAAAGAAGUGAAUGAGGUUCAAAUUGGCGAAUCAAAUUCAGAAAUCAAAGAAGUCAAAGCGAUAAUUGAAGGUCUCUCUCGACAAAUAGCAUCGUUAUCGACUGCUAAAUCAACAGAGGCACAUGACCAUGACUCAUACUUAGAUCAAGCCAAUGCCAUAGGUGUAAUGAGAAAACCAUCGAAUUACAACCCAUACUCCAACACAUAUAACCCUGGAUGGAGAGACCACCCCAAUUUUUCAUGGUCUCAAGGAUUCCAACAGAAUGGACCAGCAGCUCCAGCUCCACCAAUGCAACAAAUUGCUCAAAAUUCUCAAGCCUCUCAGCCCCCAUUUAGACCAUACAAUCAAAACCAGAAUUACUCUCAACCCAGACCAUGGGAGGAUUCAUUCCAGAAUCUCAAGAAUCUUACUCACUCCACAAUUGAGCAACAGAACCGCACCAUUGAUGGACUACGAAAUGAGUUGAGAGCAGGCUUCAACUCACAAGCUCAAUCAGUUUCAAGCCUGGAGAAGAUGGUGGGACAACUCGCUUCUUCAGUUCAGACCUUGGCAAUGACUGUUGAGAAAGGAAAAUUUCCAAGUCAACCAGUGCCUAAUCCUAAAGGAGUGCAUGAAGCGAGUACCAGUUCACCACAGCAGCAUGGAGAGGUCAAAGCAAUAAUGACCUUGCGAAAAGAAAAAGAAAUCGACAACAAAGUGGAGAUGCCGGUGACAAAGGAAAAUCAAAUUGUACCUGUGAACGUUGAGGACUCACCACCGGAGGAGAGAGAAGAAGCCAACCCACGAGAAUACGUUCCCAAAGCUCCAUUUCCUCAGAGGUUAGCGAAAGGAAAAAAGGAAAAAUCUACAGGUGAGAUUCUCGAAAUCUUCAAACAGGUAAGUGUUAACAUCCCUUUACUUGAUGCUAUAAAGCAAGUUCCAUCUUAUGCCAAGUUUCUUAAAGAUUUGUGUACUAAAAAGAGAAACAUGCAUGUUCAAAAGAAGGCAUUUUUAACAGAAAACGUUAGUUCUAUACUCCAACAUAAAAUUCCUUUAAAAUGCAAAGACCCAGGCUACCCCACUAUCUCAUGUAGUAUAGGGAACCACACAAUUGAGAAUGCUUUGUUGGAUUUAGGAGCUAGUGUAAAUUUAUUGCCUUACUCUGUGUUUGUGAAACUUGGACUGGGAGAAUUACACCCAACUCCAGUGGUGUUACAACUUGAGAUCGGUCCACGAAAAUACCUCGUGGUAUUGUGGAGGACGUGCUUAUCCAGGUAGACAAGUUUUAUUUUCCUGUUGAUUUCAUUGUAAUUGACACUCAACCAAUACAGGAUUCAAGGAAGCACAUCCCCAUUAUUCUAGGCCGACCUUUCUUGGCAACUGCGGAUGCUCACAUUCAAUGUAGGACCGGAAAUAUGCAAUUGUCCUUCGGCAAUAUGACUAUGGAGUUGAACAUCUUCAACAUUGCCAAACAACCUCACAAUGCAGAUGAUGGAAUUGUUGAUGUGGAUUUAAUAGAAGCAUUAGUUGAUGACACUUUUGUUUCAAACCUUAGUGAUGAUCCUUUACAGACAUGCUUAACUCACUUUGGUUUUGAUUUUGAUAUUGACAGAUCGGUCGAAGAGGUCAAUGCCUUACUUGACUCAGCACCAUCUAUGGACACUAAUAAAUGGAAGUCAAGAGUUGAACAACUAGCACCAUCAGAGAAGAAACUCAUCCCAUCAUCAGAAUCACCACCGAAACUCGAGCUCAAACCAUUACCCAACACUUUGGAAUAUGCAUUUUUGGGAGAAGAAAGUUCUCUGCCGGUAAUCAUCUCAUCAUCCCUCAAUGAUGAACAAAAAGGUAAGUUGUUGGAUGUUUUAAAAGAGCACAAAGGAGCAUUAGGAUGGACCAUAGCAGACAUCAAAGGUAUAAAUCCAGUAGACUGCAUGCAUUACAUUCACCUUGAUGAAAAUGCUAAAUCUACUAGGGAAAUGCAACGUCGGUUAAAUCCUAAUAUGAAAGAAGUGGUUAGAACUGAAGUCCUUAAGCUAUUAGAUGCAGGUAUCAUUUACCCCAUUUCUGAUAGUUCAUGGGUCAGUCCUGUACAAGUUGUCCCCAAAAAGUCAGGAGUCACAGUAGUUACGAAUGCCGAUAAUGAAUUGAUACCAACUAGAGUAACUACAGGAUGGCGUGUAUGCAUUGAUUAUCAAAAAUGAAUUCUGUCACAUCUAAAGAUUAUUUUCCUUUACCAUUUAUNNNNNNNNNNNNNNNNNNNNNNNNNNNNNNNNNNNNNNNNNNNNNNNNNNNNNNNNNNNNNNNNNNNNNNNNNNNNNNNNNNNNNNNNNNNNNNNNNNNNAUAGAUUAGCAGGCCACGAAUUUUAUUGCUUUCUAGAUGGUUACUCAGGAUAUAAUCAGAUUCCCAUAGCACCAAAAGAUCAAGAGAAAACUACUUUCACUUGCCCUUUUGGCACAUUUGCAUAUAGGAGAAUGCCAUUUGGAUUAUGUAAUGCACCUGCUACAUUUCAACGAUGCAUGUUGAGCAUUUUUUCUGAUAUGGUUGAACGAUUCCUUGAAGUCUUUAUGGAUGACUUUUCUGUCUUUGGUGACUCGUUUGAUCAAUGUUUACAUCAUCUAACGCUAGUUCUGCAGAGAUGUAUCGAGAAGAAUUUGGUCUUAAAUUGGGAGAAGUGCCAUUUUAUGGUAAAACAAGGUAUUGUCCUCGGUCACAUCAUUUCGAGUAAAGGUAUUGAGGUGGACAAAGCCAAGGUGGAUCUCAUUUCUAAUCUUCCUUCACCCAAAACAGUCAGAGAAGUAAGAUCUUUCCUUGGGCAUGCUGGUUUCUAUAGACGUUUCAUUAAAGAUUUUAGCAAAGUUUCUAGACCCUUAUGCAAUUUACUUGCUAAGGAUGUACCUUUUAUCUUUAAUGAUUCAUGUCUCAUGGCGUUUGAAAAAUUAAAACAAUUGUUGACAUCAUCACCCAUCAUUCAGGCCCCAAACUGGAGCUUACCAUUUGAGCUCAUGUGUGAUGCAUCUGAUUAUGCAGUAGGAGCAGUUUUAGGACAAAGAGUUGAUCGAAUUCCUCAUGUUAUUUACUAUGCUAGUAUGACAUUGAAUGAUGCACAGUUGAACUAUUCAACUACUGAAAAAGAAAUGCUAGCAGUAGUGUUUGCAUUGGAAAAAUUUCGAUCUUAUCUCAUUGGUUGUAAAAUAAUUGUGUUCACAGAUCAUGCUGCUCUUAAAUAUCUUCUCACAAAGAAAGAUGCAAAAGCUAGACUAAUUCGUUGGGUGUUACUUUUGCAGGAAUUUGACUUGGAAUUCAAAGAUAAGAAAGGGUCAGAAAAUGUUGUGGCGGACCAUCUCUCUCGUCUUCACUUUGACACAAUUACAGAGCCAUUAAUAUUAAAUGAGUCAUUUCCAGAUGAACAAUUAAUGAGUGUGGAAGUAUUACCUUGGUAUGCUGAUAUAGUUAAUUAUCUUGUUACAGGUAAACUUCCAGAGCAUUGGACCAAGCAAGACAAGAUCAAAUUCUUUGCGGAAAUAAAGAAUUUCUUUUGGGAUGACCCGUAUUUGUUCAAGUAUUGUGCAGACCAAAUUGUUAGACGAUGUGUCCCAGAAAAUGAAAUUCAGAAUAUCCUUUCAUUCUGCCAUGAACAAGCUUGUGGAGGCCAUUUCAGUGCUAAGAAAACAGCGACUAAAGUUUUACAAUGUGGUUUCUAUUGGCCAACACUAUUUCGAGACGCUUACACUUUUUGUUCUUCAUGUGAUAGGUGUCAACGAAUGGGGAGCAUUACACGAAGGAACAUGAUGCCACUAAAUCCAAUUUUAGUGGUUGAGAUUUUUGACGUAUGGGGUAUCGACUUCAUGGGACCCUUUCCCCCUUCUUUUGGCCAUCAAUACAUAUUGGUUGGUGUUGACUACGUCUCAAAAUGGGUAGAAGCAAUUCCAUGUAGAACCAAUGAUCAUAAGGUGGUGAUAGGAUUUUUGAAAAACAACAUUGUCUCACACUUUGGAUUCCCUCGAGCAAUAAUCAGUGAUGGUGGUGCCCACUUUUGUAACAAAGCAUUCAAAGCUCUUUUGACAAAGUAUUCAAUCACACACAAAGUGGCAACUCCGUAUCAUCCGCAAACCAGUGGCCAAGUUGAGAUAUCCAAUCGAGAAAUAAAGCACAUAUUAGAAAAAACGGUGAGGCCAGACAGGAAAGAUUGGUCAUUAAGACUAGAUGAUGCAUUAUGGGCAUAUAGAACGGCUUUCAAGACCCCGAUUGGGAUGUCACCCUACAGGCUAGUGUAUGGAAAAGCUUGCCACCUACCUGUGGCACUCGAACAUCGUGCAUAUUGGGCCAUCAAGAAGUUCAACUUUGAUAUGCAGCAUGCCAGCUCAGAAAGAAGAUUACAACUGGCAGAACUUGAAGAAAUUCGCAAUGAUGCAUACGAAAAUGCCAAGAUUUACAAGCAACGAAUGAAAGUCUUUCAUGACAAGCACAUUAUGAGAAAAUCUUUCACUCCAGGUCAGAAAGUGCUUUUGUUCAAUUCUCGCUUGCACCUAUUUCCAGGUAAGUUACGCUCUCGUUGGUCUGGUCCAUUUAUUGUUCAUACUGUUUUUCCACAUGGGGCAAUUGAAAUUAAAGACCCAAAGAACGGUGUCACGUUUAAAGUCAAUGGUCAAAGAUUAAAGCCAUAUUUAGAGUACCAAGCACAUGGAGAAGACACCGAAAUAAAUUUAAGUGACCCACCAGAUUUGAAUUGAUUUUUUUCGUUGAUUCGAUUUUUCUUUCUUUCUUUUUAUUUGUUAAUUGAAAUUAUUUUUGCAUAAGUGUGUUUGUUUUUCCAUUAAAUUUUUUAUCAUUGUUAAUCAUGAGUACCAUACUUAGACCGUUCCUCCUGAACAUUCUUAAACCACUUCAACGUGUCAAAACUCAUCUCAAAAGGCAGAUUCAAUUUUGUAAAACACAUCGCACUUGGGCUCUACAACCACCAGAGUUAGUAGCCUAUGUUGAGGGUUUAGAAAGCCAACUCAGAGAUAUUGAGAGAAGUGUUUACGACAUCCAGUUGGAGCUUGAGGUAAAUUCAAUACGAGGACGAUUUUGAUUUUCUUUGUGUGUUUUAAUUUGUUUUUCUGUUUGUGUGCUUUAGUUUGUUACCUCGGUGAAGUGGCGGAUAACGGUACUCCGUGACAAUCAAGUCGGUUACUUCAGUUUCCCAUAAUAACUGAUAUUCUGAGGCGAAGGUAUGGACAGAAACGAGAUUCUAGCGAAGCUUCACAAGCGAUUCCCUUCACUCCCUCAGAAUGCCCUCCUUACGAUCUAUAAAGCCCGAUCUGAACGCAUGCGAUUGCUCAUGAGGAAUAACAUACCUGCAGACAUCCGUUGGUUAAUCGAGGCUAAAGUACGAUUAGCAGGUGAGUUACCUCCUAAAUUUAUUGCAUACAUGCCUGGUUGUGGUAAAGGAAAUUAUGCAAGAAAACGACGAGCUCGAAGAAUUUCUGUUGCUUGUCACAAGUGUGCCAGAAUGAUUUGCGAUAGAAACCCAUGUUCUUUAGGAAUGAUGUCUGAUAACAGAGAAGAUAAGAUUCAAUUCAUUAGGGAUGGCUUGAAUAAGGAGUCAUUGGAUGAUAUCCUUUUAUCUCUUGAAACGCAUCCCAGUGGAUAUGUGCAAGGAGCGAUUCUCCAGUUAUGGCCAUUAUUCCAGAAAGAGCAUGCACGAUAUAGUCUCGGGAAUCUGACUAUAAACGACCCUGUUUGCCUGUUUAUAAGAAAACUGGAUGGGAAGCCUAUCCUCGACCCAUAGAGGGCGUUCAAGCCGUUUCUGGACGUAAAACCAGAGGAAGAUGUGAGCCACAGUCGCAACUACGUGUAAAUAUCCUUUUACUUUACUGUUAUUUUAUUUCAUUUCACUGUUGUUUUAUUGUUUGCAUUAUUGUCUUUAAUAAUUUUAUUACUGUUUGCUUUUUCCUUUUUACUGUUUUCUUUUUGACUCGCGAGCCAUGUGCUUCAUGCGUUAUUUGACACUAACAUGUUACCUCAUUCACAGCUGUGACCCACUAUCACCAAGACUCUUAAAUGUGAUUUCUUUUGUCAAACACUCACAAAUUGUUUUUGAGAAAUAUUCCAAUGGCAGCUACUCCCAAUAGACAAUUCAAGAACAUUUGUGUGCUUUCUGGAUUUACCUAUGGCAAACAUAAAGAGUUCGUUGAGGCAGCCAUAGAUCUUGGUCGAAGCAUAGCAGCGAGAAAUUUACACUUGGUGUAUGGAGGAGGUAAUCGAGGGUUAUCAAAAAUGGUCUCCGAAGCAGCUUUUAUCAGAGGAAGUCAAGUGUUAGGCAUCAUCCCAAGAGUCCUAAAACCAUUGGGCAGUUCGUCUGACUCAUCAACUGGAGAAGAGUUAGUCGUCUCAGGUAUGCAAGAAAGAAUAACUGAAAUGCUUAAUCAUGCUGAUGCUUUUGUUUUCCUUCCAGGAGAUCUUGCAACACUAGAGGCACUUAUGACACUAGCAUCUUGGGCCCAUCUGCACAUCCACCAGAAACCCAUCGGUUUGUUAAAUGUCAAUAACUUUUAUGAUGGCUUUAUCGCAUUUCUUAACCAUGCAAUAAAAAACUACUUCAUUCCUUCUAAUGUGAAAAAACUUUUUAUUUGUGCUCACACUGCUAAUGAGCUACUUGAUAUGUUACAAGCUUAUAAACCGGAGCCAGACCCCUGGACCUUUGUGUUGGAGCGACCAAAUAAUGAUGGUAACAGUAGCCGCAGUAAGAAGUACAAAUUAGAUUUAACUCUCCGCCUGUAAAUAUUUUCUUCUGUGUUGCACCACCCAGGUGAUGUCUUCUAAACUCUACUUCUUUCCUUUAAAACAUUGAGGACAAUGUUUCGUUCUGGUUGGGGGGAGGGAAUAGUCGACAAUUGUGGAAUCUUGGUUAAGUUUUUACUAUUUUUUUUGUUGUAGAAACUAAUUGUUGCUAACGUUUUGUGUUGAAGAUGGCUGAAUAUGGAGUGUAGUUACUCUAGAAACGCAUCUUCAUCGUUUUAAAAAAAAAAUUGUUUUCUUCCUCUUUCUCCUUUAUAAAUAUAUAUUUUCCAAUUUUUGAGUCGAAGAUGGCUGAAUAUGGAGUGUCGUGCCUCUAGAAACGCAUCUUCUUAGUUAAAAAAAAAUAAUAAAAAUUUCUUUUUCUAAUAAAUUUUUCUACAUCAUUUUCACAUUUCUGCAUGCAUAUUUUUCUUUCAUGUUUAGAAUAGGUUGGGGGGUAGAAUGUUGUUAAAAAAAAAAUUUGUGUUAUUUGUUUUAACAUUGGAUGACAUGAUUAAUUUCAAAUUUUAUUAUUUGUAUUAUCUUUGGUCUUAAGUGAUGUUACGCUAUGUUUGCUACUUUACAUGUUGAUGUCGGAGAUAAAUAUGAGUUGCUUGAAGGAAUGAACAUGUCAUAAAUAAGUGCCAAGUGAGUUGUUGAGCCUAUCAUUUUCUUGGAGAGUAACCAUUUUGCCCAUUCUCUAUACAGCUUAGCAGUUUAUUAUUUUAUACACGAUCUCUACAUUUCUUUUGAGUUAACCCUUUAAAAAAAAUGGUAAAAAAAAAGAAAAAAAAGAAAAAAAAUGUGUGUUGCUACAUUGGGAGGCCCAUCUAACUAGUAGAUAUGGAUAAUUAUUUAGAGCCCUAAAAGACGAUAGAAAGGCCAUCUUUGAUCCGUUUGAGCCUUUCUAGCCAUCCCUUUUAUUAAAUAUCCAUAGUUACCCUUUUUGAACCUUUAAAAAAAAAAAAAAAAACCUUUUCUUUGUCAACUUAUCAUCUUAACCCACUCCGAUUUGGAGUAUUACCCGAUGUCUUAUAAGUUCCAUCACCUAUUUAUGUUUGAGAAAAUGUAAAUAAUUAUGUUGUUCAGUGAAGUUAUGACAAAUAAAAGCUAAAAAAAAAAAAAAGUUGUUGUUUCAAAAGAAUAAAAAUAACAACAAUAGGUGAAAUACACCUUGCAACUUCAAAAAAAAAAAAAAAAAAUUCUCUGCAUUUUUCUCAAACUUAUACUUUGUUUUCCUUAUUUCCUUUCUUUGUUAGCCAUAUCCCUAGCCUACGUUACGUCCUAAUAAAAGUCCUUCUUGAUUUUAGGGAACUAUAGUUUGAAGUAGAAGCUAGUUAUAUGGGCUAAAAAGAUGUAGUGAUGCUUAAAAAAAAAAAAAGAAAAAAAAAAGACAUAAAUAAAGUGGGUUAACUAACAUUUUAUUUGACUUGAGAUCAUAUUAUUUCUAAGCUGAGGGCAUAUUUAUUUCAUCUUGGUGAGAGCAUGUGAUAUCAUUUCUUUAUUAUUUUCUCUCUCAAUUACCAUUGAUUGGAGUGACUAUGUUUAUUGGGUUUUAAUUUCUUUGUGAGAGUGUCACUACUUCCAGUGAGAUUUUGGGGUUUGACAUGUCAUUCUUGAAAGUAGCUAUAACAAAGUCUACUGGGCUAAUUCAUGUGGAUGGUUGAUGUGGGUGUGAUGUUGCUUUAGACUAGAGAUAAUGCUUAUACUUUUAUUUGAUUGCUAUCAUUAAUCUGAUUGAAUAAACACGAGUGUUUCUAAAAAAAAAAAAAAAAAUCAUUUCGAAUUUGAAUUUUGUUUUCGCUUUAUUUGCUAGGGACUAGCAAUAAGCUGGUUGGGGGGUGUGUUGAGUGUUAGAAAAUGCAUAUUUAUAAAGGAGAAAACCGUCAUUUUACAUUUCAAGUCUUACUAACAACCCUUAUUUUUAUGUAUUUAACAUUCUUAUGAUUUAAUUACGUGUGUUUUAUUUUAAUUAAGUAAUUUAUGUAUUCUAGGGGCAUUAUAGUCAUUUCACAAUAAAGGAGAGAUCAGACGGCAAAACGGACAUCACUUUUGAACUCAGGACGGUCGAAAACCUUAGGAGGACCAUAAAAGGAAAAAUGACACUAUUCACAUUAUAUCAGUGGACGAAAAAUCUCGCGUACGGUGCAUGCAUCACACAGGAUUAGUUUCAACCAAACCGCGUUACUGUUCAUCCGGGUCAAACCGUGUUAUUGUUCAUCCGCGUGGUCAAACCGUGGACUGUUGACUGAUGACGUGGCGCAAUCCUGAGCGUCCAAACUGUUUUUAAUCCGAUGGCCAUGAUUUACUCCAUGUAUCUAUAAAAAGGGGGCCUCCCCCCCCUAAUUUGAUAUCUCUGAAUCCAUUUUUGGGAUCCAUUUUCUGUAAUUCCCUCUCCAUCUUGUAUUUUCUUCGUAUUUUAAUAAAUUCUCAUUUUGCCCCUAGUUCAAUUAUGAGUGGCUAAUUUUCUUUUAAGCUUGGGUUGAAGGUGAAGUCUCAACAUGUGUCAUGGGCUUAAUUUGGUAAAUUUAUUUUCUCUUCCCCUCUAGUUUUUGUGGAUGUUUUGACUUCUCGUCGACAAAUAAUACUAAUCUUGUCUAGUACCGCCUUGGUUUCACCGGCCCUCUAGUACAAGGUUAUUAUUAUUUAACACGAUAAGCCCUUAGCACCAUAUUGAUUAGAGCGUGGUUCAUGAUGUGUGGAUUCCCCCCUCAUGAUUUAAUUGGCAUUAAUAAGGAAUAUUUAGCCCAUGAUGCAUGUUGAUACGGAUCCAGAUACCCAAGUACGUCAUUUCAAUAGAUCUUCGCUUCAAUUUAUUCUCGUCAUUUCAAUUCCAAUUUCAGAAUUUAUUAUCGCCAUUUUAAUUUAAGUUUUAGCAUAUUCCAAAUCAUUUCCACCAAAAAUUCCAACCACUCAUUUACAAAAUUAAUUCUAUACACAAUUAAAAUCCACCUCCUCGUGGGAUCGACACUCGUCACCAUUAGUCUAUACUACAAUAGAUUCGUGCGCUUGCGAGUACAUUAAAAUUUGCACAACAAUAAAUGUAAAGGUUAGAUGCAUAAAGAUAAUUGUUAGUUGCAUAAUUUUAGGAAAAGUUAUAUUAAUCCACGUUGGCCUGAUACCCUUUUGUAUAUUCCUUAUUCUCAAGUAAGUCAAGUAAAGUUAGAUAUGACAUAAUAAAAUUGAAAUUGAAAGGUAUUAACAUGAUUGUUAGUUAUCAUGAUUGUUAAUAACUAAAAGGGAGUGUUUAACAUGAUAAUACGCUUGCAAAGAACUAAAAUGUAAAUUGCAUUAAUAGAUGAUAACAUAGAGUUAUAUUAAUCCAGGUCGGUUUAAUACCCUUCUUCAUAUAUUCCUUCUCAAAAUGUGAAUGUUUGAGUUUUCUUUAGCGUCGUUCAUAGAAAAAAAUAGGAAAUAAAUAAAAUUACAGAAAUACAAAAUCAGUAUAGUUGUUAGAGAAUUAAUAUAAUUGGAAUAAACAAGAUGAAGAGUAAAUAGAAGAUAAAUUGGUCUUGAGUCUAGUUUGAGAGACUAUUUUGAUCUUUUUUUACCAACUUGGUUGCCAUUUGGCUUGAACCCCAAAGUUCAAAGUUUUCUAUUGGUCAAAUGAGUUUUUUAUUUUCUUGCCCUCUAAUUCCAGUAGUUCAUAUGGAGGAGAAAACUCCAAUUUUCCUUCAAUCGUUGGCUUUAUAGCCUCUUUAAUCAUAUUUGAGGUUUGGGUGUUGAAUCAAGCAUAUGCGAGUAUUUACCUCUUUUCACAACCAUACACAACCAGGUCUAAUCUAAUAAGGUAAUUGUAGAAUUGUGGUUGUGUAGUUUUAGUGAGAGAAAAUGGCUUCCAUAUUAAGGAAAAAACCCCAUUUUACCUUGUAAAAAUUUGUUAUAGCAUUAAAUAUAUCGUAAUGAUAAUAAUGCUCAACUAUAAUAUAAUCAUUCUACUAACAAGAAUGUCUUGUGCCUUUCAGAUGGUGAGGUCUCAUAUCAGGCACAUCUAUCUCAUUUUUUAAAAAAUAAAAUUACAUUCUCAACAAAAGUUUUGCAACCAUAGUCUUGUAGCCUUUGAAGACGUUUUCUGGUAGUUGAGACUAAAUGCACAACAUUUAAAUGUCUCGAGAUUUCAAUUGUAAUGCUUGACAAAGUAAUCACUCACCCCCAAAGCUUUAUUUAAUAAAUAUAAAAUAAAAACAAAUUUAAAAGAUGUCACUAAUUCACAUGAAUAUGUAGCCUCUUUAUGUAUGCCAUUAUUAGGCCUACAUUGUAUCAACUUCCAUGAACUCUACAAACAACACUAAACAAAUCAAGUAACCUGUUGACAAAACAUAAAUGAGAACUCCACUGAGUAGCUCCAGAUCGUUGUAAAGUAUGAAUUUGAAAUCUAUGGAUUCUAAUAGAUUUCAAUUCAGAAAGACAUUUGGCAGAUGAUGUUAGAACAUCUACAAUUAAUUCUAAUACAGAAAGGAAAAGACAUACAUCUGGCACAUCAUUAGAUGCGACAACUAAUGAAAGUUAUUGUUGAUGUGCAAAACAACAUACAUAAUAUGCAUAUGGACAAUCUUUCAAAAAUAAUGCUUGUAAUCCAUUCCAUGCACCCUGAUGUUACUAGUGUUGGUUUGAAAAAUAUUUUACAGUGGAAAUAUUUGGAUCGCAAUUUUCAUACAAUAUAUAAAAUUACCAUAAUCUAUAAAUUGUACCUUUGCUUUUUUGCUGAAGUAAUCUAGGCUCCCAGAUCACGAUCCGUCACCACCAUUCCUGUUAGAUCACGAUCCGUCACCAAUGAUUUUCCAGGUUAUGACUCAAGUUUGAUCUGCAUUUGACGUGUGGGGGCCUUUAUCACCAUUAAAAGCAACGAACAAGAGAAAAUAUUUCUCUCAAAAUUAGAGAGAAAAACUCUUUUUCUCUGAUCUGUAUAUUGUGGCUCCUCUCACUUUUUAGAGAAAACAAGCCAUUUUAUAUCUCUAUUUGGUGGAAACCCUAGGCUCCAUAUUUAUAUAUUUUUUAAUUCUAUUAAAUCAAAUUUGAUUUAAACAAAAAAAUAAUAAAACCAAAAGUAGCAUUACUUGUUCUUGUUAUAGGGGCCCACUUUGUAAAAUAACACAAAGCCCCUUACACACAAGCAUAUUAAAUGGAGCCUCCCAUUAAAUAAUAUAUUUAAACUUUUAACCCAAAUGCUAGUUACCUUACUUAUUAAUCAAGUAGCGUCGCAAUAAAUUAAAUGAGCUAACCUGGGGUACAUACAAUGUGGCUACAAUAAUUAGGUUUGUGAUUAAACUAGCCCAAUUAUUUAAUUCCAAAUCUACUCCACUAAAAGAUUGGAAUUUACCUCCAUAAUUGUAUGCUAUCUAGGACAGUGUUCUCAAAUAAUAAUUUGACCCAUGCCACAUUGAUUUCUUUACUGAACAAUCCUUUGUACCACAUCACUAAAUAAAUUGAUAUCUCAACUGUCCAAUCAAUUUAAUUACAUCUUGUUCCUUGACACUUACUGAUUUUCUCUAAUGAUCAUUUUCAACAUACUAAUUAUGUUGACACACUCUGGCCAGAGAAUUCUAUGAUCAAGUGUCAAAAACCCAUUAAGAGAUGUGUUGUACAAAUUCUAUAUUGUUAAUCUAGAAUCUCACUGCUCAUAAUUGCUUCCAUGAAGAUACCGGGUAAUCUUGACUACAAAUUUAUGUCGCACCCAUUGAUAACUCAAAUAAAAUGACAAUAAAAAAACAUGAAACUAUAAUUAACUCAAGAUUAAGAUUGCAAUAAAAUCAAUGCUAGUGAGAUUUAAUAAGUCUGACAGUUAUAUCAAGGUUAAUUAAAUAUCAUAUGUGAUCCAGUUCAAUAUAGUCAAACUACAUUAGUAAAUUCACACAUGAUCAAGACAAAUCAAUCAAUGAAUUUAUUACAGUCUAAACAUAAAUAGAGCGCCCAACUGUAUUUAGCAACUGCAAACUUAAUUUAUUUAAUCAUAAGAUAACUGUAUUUAUGUCUUCUAUGAAUCCUUAUGAUGAUUACAUAAAUACAUAUAAUAUGAUUAAACGGACCUUAUUCAAAAUAUCUAUGCAAUUGAAAAUAUCUAUGCAAUUGAAAAUAUCUCAAAUAUUUUAUUAGUUAGAAAAUAAAUAAAUUAAUAUGCUUUAAAGAGCACAUAAUCCCAACAAUCUCCCACUAGCUCUUAAAGCAUAUCUGGCAUAUUGCACAUGCUCUAGGGCUCUAAGUAUAAGUUAUAAAGGUUUCCCACUAAUGGCCAUUGUAAUAAGAUCUGCCAUAUAGCAUCUAAUUCCAUUUGAGGUACUGCCAUAACCUUUCUACACUAUUCCCUUAUAAAAUGAUAUUUCCUCUCAAUAUGUUUUUGUUUCUUGUGGUUCCUUGUUUCCUUAGAUUGAGCUACCACACCACUAUUAUCACAAAAUAGUUUAAGGGGUGCAGUUAUAAUAGGUACCACUUCAAUAUCUUGUAGGAACUUGCGGAGCCAUACAACUUCUUUUGCAGCUUCAGCUGCAGCCACAUAUUCAGGUUCAGUUGUGGAGUCUGAAAUACAAGUGUACAACCCAAGAGCGGGGGUGAAUUGGUACUUUAAAAAAUUAUCCUAUCAAAGCCAGACAACAAUCCAAUCUAAUGCCUUAACAAAUUCAAAAGCUAUAAGUUCAAUAAACGUGCAAUAACAAAUGAGUAAGAGAGAAGAGAAACAAACACACGAAGUUUUACGUGGUUCGGCAAUCUCCGCCUACGUCCACGCCUCCAAGCGAUCCAAGCUUGAGGAUUUCACUAUCCAAGCCUUCCUAGGCUUCAAAUGUUUACAAUUGACUUCAAGGUGUCAAUAAACCUUUACACCAAAGAGAUUAUCUCCCAAUCUCUUCACUCAAGUGUCUCACACACUCAAACACUCACAAUUAAGAUGAAGAAAUGAAAGUUACAAUAAAAAAACUCUCUUGAAGAGUAGAUGUACAAAUUGAAGAACAACAAUGAUUCAAUAAAUAACGACUUGCGAAUUGAGAGCUCAAGAUAUGUUGUAUGCUUUUUGUUUUUGCUUGUUGAAGAGCUAUAAAAUGAAUUGGAUUUGAGUUUUUAUAGUUUGAGCUAAAAAACUAGCCGUUAUGCACAUUUUGGUCAUAACCAGCUUACUGUUUAUGGACAUCUGGUUAGCCGCUUAAUGUUACCGUUACAGCCACAAUUUUGAAUUUCUGAACAUCCGGUAUGCCGCUUGUGAAAUCCGGUUAGCCGUUUAAGUUCCAGAAAUAUUCUGCCCGAAUCCGGUCUACCAUUUGUCAAGAUCGGGAUAGCCGCUUGCUACAGUAACUGCUACAGUGAUCUAUGUUUCAAAAUUAUAGUUUGACCCCUAAACUUUAUAAAACUGUGUUAUGCCCUUAAACGUUAUAAAAAGUUUCAAAUAGGUCCAAUUUCAGAAUUUCUAAAUAUUACUUUAUUAAUCCUAAAACUUUCUGAAAUUAAGACAUGACCCAAAAUAUGUGAAAUUAUAGAAUGACCCAAAACAUUUAAAUAUUUUCAAAUAGGUCCAAAUCGGAAAUUCAAAACAAUAAUUUAUUAAAAUCAAAGAUUAUGAAACACAACUUAACUCCAUAAAAACAUUUUCUUAUUGUAAAAGCACAAUAUAUAAAUCUUUGUUUAAUCAACACAUUUGGUUUGUUAUCAUCAAAAUCAAUAUCUAUAGCCAUAUGGCUAACAAUCUCCCCCUUUUUGAUGAUGACAAAACACAUUAUAAAAAUUUAAUCUAGUUAUGCAAAAGCUCCCUCUUAAUCAAUGCAAGGUUUAAAGACUAGUUUCAAAAAGAUUUAAAAGCUCCCCCUGCAUAAGUGCAUAUGAAUAUUUUUCAUAACAAAUGAAUAUUUCCCCCUUACAUUUUACAUAUCUCCCCCUUCAUCAUAAAAAAGAAUAAAAGCUCCCCCUAUCAAUCAUCAAAGUCUCAAUACAAGCACAUUAAGUCAAAAAUAUCCAUAAGCAUAAGGAAAUCCAUAUAAUCCAUAACAAACAAUCAAAACAAAUCCAUAUCAUCCAAAACAAAUACAUAAUCCAAAAGCAUAAUAACCAUCCAUAUAGUCAAAAAUAAAAGGACAUAAAACAGUAAAUGAUAUGUAGGUGUGUCCAAAUACAAGCAUAAAAGACUAUUGAGGUAGUGAGGAUGGUGGUGAAGGAGAAGGAUACGGAUAUGGAAUGCCAAAGUGCUCAAAAAGAAGGCGUUGUCCAUGAAUGAGCUACUGUUGCUGAAACUCAGUCUGUCGCACAGAGAGUGUCCACACUUCAUCCAUAAGCUGCUGAAGAGUAACAUCUUCAGAGGUAGGAGGUUGUGGAGGUGAUGAAGAGAUGCAGAGGCACCAGGAGCUGAAGCAAUCACGGGAGGAUCUCGGCGCCUACUCUGCCCCCGAAAUGAGAGUGAGAAAACGAGUAGCUGAUCGGCUAGAACUUAUUUCACCCAAUUGCCAUUACGCCACUCAAAACCUAAAGAACUAACAACCUCAUCCCCAAUGCUCUUAGAUGGCCUACAUGAUGGUUCUUGGAUAGGGACGCUAAAGUAUUUGAGGAUUCGGGUGAUGAAAUGACCAUACGGAAGGGAGCGAGUAAUCAACUUAGGUAUACUGAGCAUGUUUCGGACAAUGGUAUAUCCUAAGUCGACUGGACGAUGUCUAAGAAUACAAUCAAUCAAGGCAACAUCCAUAUGAGAAACCUCAUCCAAAUGGCCUGAUCUAGAAAGCACAAUACUCUGAAUAAAAUGAAGUAAUAUCCGAGUUUGAAGACAAAGACAUUUGGUGCGAAAAUGGAUAGUACAAUCUUCAUCUGAAAGGUCAAUACAACGACAUAUAUUCUUAACAGCAUCAAUAUGAACAUAGUCAUCAAUAUCAGGAGGUUUCCUAGGUGAAACAAUUUCUAAGCCAUCAUCGAAAGUUUCUAGGAUAGAGUUCAACUCUAAAUCAUCAAACUCAAUCGAAACUCCUCCAACUGUGGUGAUUACUCGAUUCUCUUUCUCUGCAGAACAAUCCAUAUUCGAGAAAAACACUUUCACCAAGUCGGGAUAUACAUUUUCCUCAAAAACAAGUGCAUUAAGCCAACUAAUAUCUUCUAACAAUUGCAAUAAAGUUCUAUUUCUAACACUAAGAUUAUUUAACCAAUCCGGUAAAAUAAAAAAGGUUUGGAGUACCUCACGAGUCAUGAACUGUUGGUAAAAUCGUUUGGCUAGAUGUUUGUGGUUCUGAAAGUGUGUGGACUCAAAGUUGGAUUGAUUGGAGGUGCCCCCUGCUUGCCGUGACCGGUUGGUUUACUGAACCAAUUCUUUGCCUUUUCUUCGAACCGGCCGUGAGCUUGACAUGGUGAGUUUGUUUGAUUUGAAGUGAAAUAAAGCACUGAGAAUGUAGAUAAUAAGAAUUGAAAGAGAUUUUGAGAAGCAAUUUGGAUCAAAACCGGCUUAAGAGGAAGAAAUCUAGAGAGAGAAGAUUCAACUUUAAACCCUAGAUUCGAUUUCGGAUCUAUUGAUUUUGAGGUUAAAAAAGGGUUUGAAUGAUGAUUUUUGAUACAAGAACGGAUGGGAUGCAAGUUUCAUGGAUCGAUUUGCAUCAAAAACAAGUGAAAAUGAUAGAUUUUGGAGAGAAAACGAGAGAGAAAUAAUCAGUUUUAGAGAGAGAAAGCUAACCGGUUUACCAAAAGAGGGGAGAGGAAGAUGAACAGGUUAACUGGUUGCGGGCAGUGAGUUUGCAACUCAAAUUCGAAUUUCCAGAUUGAGUAACUGGUUAUCCGGUUCUGUCUAGCAAAGGUUAUUUCGAAUCCGAUUUUUCGGAUAUCACGAACCGGCUUGCCGGUUAGAUCCAAAAGAUAGCAAGUUAAACUCGGCUUACCAGUUUGCCUAAUCGAUUGGCCGAAUGAAUCCAGAAUGUUGCCAAAGUGGAGCUCGAAUCUGGAUUUUCAGAUUUACAUAACCGGUUAUCCAGUUAAAUCUAGUGAAGGCCAUACGCGAAUUCGGUUAGUCGGAUUUAAUAACCGGUUUAUCCGGAUUGUUCAAGUAAGUACCAAACAUAAUCCAGUUUUCUGAAUUUUAUAAUCGGCUGACCGGUUCUUUCCAGAAAAAGAGAUAACAAAAGCGAUUUACCGGUUUUCCAAUCCGGUUAUCUAGAAUAUGACUCAGAAUGUGGGCAAUCUCUUAGACUUGUAUUAUACACACUAUUUUAUUUUUGGCUUUUAAAAUUGAUUAAUUGUAAAUCAUUUUGAGAUUUAAAACUUUUCAAUAAGCCAUUUAAUGCAUGAAACAUAAAUUCAUAAAAUAACAAGCAUAUCAAGCUAUCUAAUUCAUGAAGCAUAAACCCAUAUAAUAACAAACAUAUCAAGCCAUGUAGUAAAACAUAAGUCUAGAUGCAACACUCAUCAUUCCAAGCUCAUGUCUUAUCUUUAUAAAAUGUUAUUCGCUAAGAGGUUUUGUAGAGAUAUCCGCAAGCUGAUUUUCAGUAGAAACAAAUUUAAUUACAACAUCUCCUUUUUUAACAUGAUCUCUAAGGAAAUGAUGUCUAAUUUCUAUAUGCUUAGUCCUAGAAUGUUGAAUGGGUAUUUAAUAGAACUAGUAUUGUCACACAAGAUGGGUAUUUGAUCAAGAUUAAUACCAUAGUCUCUAAGAGUUUGUUUCAUCCAAAGAAUUUGUGCACAAAAACUACCUGCGGCAAUAUAUUCUGCCUCGGUGGUUGAAAGCGCAACUGAGUUUUGUUCUUACUAAACCAAGAGACAAGUGAAUGGCCCAGGAAGUGACAUGUUCCACUAGUACUUUUUCUAUCAACUUUAUAUCCGACAAAAUCAGCGUCCGAAUAACAAGUUAAGUCAAUAUGAGUUCCCUUAGGAUACCAAAGGCCAAGAUUAAUGGUGCCAAUCAAAUAUCAAAAAAUUCGUUUGACAACAAGCAUGUGUGACUCUUUAGGACAAAAUUAAAAUCUAGCACACAAGCAAAUACUAAACAUAAUAUCAGGUCUACUAGCAGUCAAAUAGAGUAAGGAUCCGAUCAUACCUCGAUAAGUCUUGAUGUCAACUUUCUUACCUUUCUCAUCUUUGUCCAGCUUGAUGGUAGUACUCAUUGGAGUGUUUUUUACCGUUCCAUUAUCAUAUCCAAAUCUUUUGAGUAGAUCUUUUACGUACUUGGCUUGGUUUAUGAAAAUUCCUUUCUCGUUUUGUUUGAUUUGGAGUCCAAGAAAGUACUUCAACUCUCCCAUCAUACUCAUCUCGAAUUCUUUGCUCAUACAAGAUGAAAAUUCUUUACACAACAAUUCAUUAGUAGAACCAAAGAUAAUGUCAUCAACAUAGAUUUGAACAAUAAGUAUAUCUUGGUUUUUAUACUUAACAAAGAGGGUGGUGUCCGCUUUUCCCAUCGAAAAAUUGUUAUCUAACAAGAAGUUUUUAAGCCUAUCAUACCAUGCUCUAGGUGCUUGUUUUAGUCCAUACAAAGCCUUAGAUAACUUAUACACAUGAUCUGAAAAUUUUUCAUUUUCAAAACCAUGGGGGUGUUUCACAUAAACUUCCUCCAUAAUAUAACCAUUUAAGAAAGCACUCUUGACAUCCAUUUGAUAUAAAAUAAAAUCUUUAUGACAUGCAAAAGCUAAGAGCAUUCUAAUGGAUUCUAGUCUAGCUACAGGUGCAAAUGUUUCAUCAAAAUCAAUUCCCUCUUCUUGGUUGUAGUCUUGAGCCACUAAUCUAGCUUUAUUUCUUACAACCAUACCGGAUUCAUCCAUUUUGUUUCUAAAUACCCAUUUAGUGCCUAUAAUGGAUUGAUGUUCCGGAUUAGGAACUAAUUCCCAUACAUUGUUUCUUUCAAAUUGAUUCAACUCCUCUUACAUAGCCAUAAUCCAAGAUUCAUCAUUUUCUGCAUCCGUAAAGGAUUUUGGUUCAAUUUGAGAGAUAAAUGCAGCAUGCUCACAUGUGUUCUUAAGAGAUGAUAUAGUUGUAACACCUCAUGAGGGAUCUCCUAAAAUUACAUCCUUAGAGUGAGAAGAAACAUACCUCCACUCCUUGGGGAGUGUUUGAGAAGUACAUUCAUUUUGCUCUGCAUUUGCUUCUUCAUGAUGUUCCUCUUGAAUUUCAUGAGGUGCAUCUUUUUUGUUGUCAUUUGAUGCUUCUUGUUGUUGUUCUUCUUCUGCAUUAUCAUCAACAACGACUUUCUCCGUAGAUGAGGGGUUAGACUCAUCAAAUGUAACAUGUAUAGAUUCUUCUACAACCAAAGUUCUUUUAUUAUAAACUCUAUAAGCUUUGCUUGAGUUUGAAUAACCAAGAAAAAUACCAACAUAAGAUUUUGGAUCAAAUUUUCCAAGAUUAUCUUUUGUGUUCAAAACAAAACAUUUGCAUCCAAAGACUUUAAAAUAACCUAUGUUAGGUUUUCUAUUUUUCCAAAGCUCAUGUGGAGUUUUAUUAAGAUUAGGUCGAAUCAACACACGAUUCAAAACAUAACAAGCGGUGUUGACGGCUUCGGCCCAAAAAUACUUAGGCAAAGAAUUUUCAUUCAACAUGGUCCUAGCCAUUUCUUGAAUAGACCUAUUCUUUCUCUCUAUGACUCUAUUUUGUUGAGGAGUCCUAGGAGAUGAAAAUUUAUACUCAAUGCCAAAAUUAUUACAAAAGUUCUCAAAUGCAUAAUUUUCAAAUUCUCCACCAUGAUCACUUCUAAUACAAUAAAUACUACAUUCCUUUUCAUUUUGAACCUUUUUGCAGAAAACUUUAAAUGCAUCAAAGGCAUCAUCCUUAUUAGCUAAAAAUAAUACCCAUAUGUAUCUAGAAUAAUCAUCCACAAUUACAAAAGCAUAAUAUUUUCCAUUUAAACUAGCAUAUCUAGAAGGACCAAAUAAAUCUAUAUGAAGAAGUUGAAGUGGUUUUGAAGAAGAGAUAUGAUUUUUGUUUUUGAAAGAGGUUUUGAUUUGUUUUCCAAAUUGGCAAGCUACACAAAUUUUAUCUUUUUUAAAACUGAUUUUUGGAAGACCUUUAACCAAAUCAUUUUUCGAGAUUUUUGAGAUCAAAUCCAUACUUGCAUGACCUAAUCUUCUAUGCCAUAACCAGCCAUCAUCAUGCAUUGCAGAGAAACAUUUAUCAUUUGUAGAUGCACGAUCUAUAUUAAUGGUAUAGACAUUAACACAUCUAUUUCCUACAAACAAAACCUUGCCAUCACAUGCAUUUUCAAUAAUACAUUUUGAUUCAUCAAAGAUAACUCUAUAUCUUUUAUCACAUAAUUGACUAAUGCUCAGCAAGUUGUGUUUUAAGUUUUCAACCAAACACAUAUUUUCAAUGAGAGUAAAGGAUACAUUACCGACAUUGCCACUGCCAAUGAUUUUUCCUUUUCAAUUAUCUCCAAACGAUACAUCUCCACCAUUUUCGAUCUUGGUAAAACUUGAAAACCAAGAAUAAUUCCCUGUCAUUUGUCUUGAACAACCACUAUCCAAGUACCACUUAUUCUUCUUCUUCUUCAAGCCCUGUAGAGAAAAUCUCAAAUUUUAGGUACCCAAACCUUUUUGGGUCCUUGAGAGUUAGCAAUGGUUCCUUUCGGAACCCAAACACAUUUCACACCAUAAUAUGCAUUUAUCUUCACUGGACAUCUAUUUUUUAUAUGACCAUCUUGAUUACAAUAAUGACAUACAAUUUGAUUGUUAAUAGAUGUAUUCUUCACAAAAUAACUCUUGUAAUAUUUUUGUUUUAAAUUUGGCUUAUAACCAAUGCCUCCUUUGUCAAAUACACAUUUUUGUGAGUUUAGCAAGUUAUCCAACAUCUUUUGUCCAUUUGUGAAUUUUAGCACAAUCUCAUUUAGUUCAUUGCUCUUCUUUCUAAGCAUUUCAUUUUCAUUUUUCAAGUCAUUCACGUGUGACUUUAAGUGCUCAUGUGCAGUGCUAGAAUUCUUAAAUAAUGCAACUCUAUCAUGCAAUGUUUUAUUCUCUAAUUCUAGGCAUGUAAUCUUUUUCACUAAAUGAUUCAUUUUCAUUUUUAAGCUCUAUCAUAUUCUUUUUAAGACAUAUAUUCUUUUUACCAAUCUUCAUCAAUUCAUCAUGCAAAUCCUUAAAGGCAUCAUGUAAUUCAUCAUAUGUAGGAAGAACACUUACCUUAUCAAGUUCAUCACAUGAUUCUUCCCCAAAGGCCAUGAGAGUUAAAUUUGUCAUUUCUUGUUGCUCUUCAUCAUCACUUGUUUCGUCAUCGCUAUCAUCCCACGUGGCCACCAUAGCUUUCUUCUUGAGUUUGUUGAGGAGAGAACAUUCCGGUCGUAUGUGUCCGGGCUUCUUGCAUUCAUAGCAACUGAUUGGCUCUUUCUUCUCCUUUUUAUUCUUGUAGCCUUUGAACUUUCUCUGCUCAUUAUUCUUCUUGUAAAAUUUUCUGAAUCUUCUACCCAACAUUGCCAACUCCUCAUCAUCCAUCUUGCCCUCCUCAUCAUUCUCACGUUUUGAGGCAUUGAGAGCAAUGUUUUUCUUCUUUUCCCCAUGCCCUUUUUCUCUGCCAAAUCUUCGAACUAAUUAAAUCAUCAAUAGGUAAUGUAUUUAAAUCUUUGGCUUCCUUAAUGGAAAUCCUUGUUGGUCUCCAUUCCUUAGGUAGCGACCUAAUGAUUUUCUUAACUUUCUCACUAUUUGAAAAGCUCUUUCCUAAGGCCCCUAGAGUGUUCACUAUGUCCAUAAAUCGUGUAUACAUAGAAUACACACUCUCAUUUUGGUCCAUUUGAAACAAUUCAUAUUGUCGAGUGUACCUACUUAUUUUAGACUCUUUUACUUGAUUCGUGCCUUCAUAAACAACUUUAAGUUUGUGCCAAAUUUCAUUAGCACUUUCGCAACUAGACACUCUAUGAAACUCUUUCUUUUCUAGUGCACAAAACAAGGCAUUCAUAGCUUUGGAAUUUAGAGAAGCUUUUCUCUUUUCCAAUUCAUUCAAUUCCCAUGAAGGUUUUGGAAUAUCUUCCCCUACUUCAUUUUUAGAAAAAGGUAUGAAAGGACCAUCAUUAACAAUUGCUCAAAUUUCGUAAUCUAAGGCUUGCAGUAAAUUCUCAUCCUAGUUUUCCAAUACGGGUAAUCAUUUCCAUCAAAGUAAGGUGGUCUAGUGGUGGACUGUCCUUCCCUAAAUCUGGAAUCAUUUUGAGUUGCCAUUGAUCUUUAGCUCUAGAUGGUUAAGUCUAAAUAAGAGCACCUCUCUCUGAUACCAAAUAAAAUACAAAUGUACAACCCAAGAGGGGGGUGAAUUGGUACUUUAAAAAAUUAUCCUAUCAAAGCCAAACAACAAUCCAAUCUAAUGCCUUAAUAAAUUCAAAAGCUAUAAGUUCAAUAAACGUACAAUAACAAAUGAGUAAGAGAGAAGAGAAACAAACACACGAAUUUUUAGGUGGUUCGGCAACCCCCGCCUACGUACACGCCUCUAAGCGAUCCAAGCUUGAGGAUUUCCAUAUCCAAGCCUUCCUAGGCUUCAAAUGUUUACAAUUGACUUCAAAGUGUCAAUAAACCUUUACACCAAAGAGAUUAUCUCCCAAUCUCUUCACUCAAGUGUCUCACACACUCAAACACUCACAAUUAAGAUGAAGAAAUGAAAGUUACAAUAAAAAAACUCUCUUGAAGAGUAGAUGUACAAAUUGAAGAACAACAAUGAUUCAAUGAAUAACGACUUGCGAAUUGAGAGCUCAAGAUAUGUUGUUGCUUUUUGUUUUUGCUUGUUGAAGAGCUAUAAAAUGAAUUGGAUUUGAGUUUUUAUAGUUUGAGAUCAAAAACUAGUCGUUAUGCACAUUUUGAUCAUAACCAGCUUACUGUUUAUGGACAUCCGGUUAGCCACUUAAUGUUACCGUUACAGCCACAAUUUUGAAUUUCUGAACAUCUGGUAUGCCGCUUGUGAAAUCCGGUUAGCCGUUUAAGUUCCAGAAACAUUCUGCCCAAAUCCGGUCUAGCGUUUGUCAGGAUUCGGAUAGCCGCUUGCUACAGUAACUGCUACAGUGAACUAUGUUUCAGAAUUAUGGUUUGACCACAAAACUUUAUAAAAUUAUGUUAUGAUCCAAAACGUUAUAAAAAUUUUCAAAUAGGUCCAAUUUCAGAAUUUCUAAAUAUUACUUUAUUAAUCCUAAAACUUUCUGAAAUUAAGACAUGACCCAAAAUAUGUGAAAUUAUAGAAUGACCCAAAACAUUUAAAUAUUUUCAAAUAGGUCCAAAUCGGAAAUUCAAAACAAUAAUUUAUUAAAAUUAAAGAUUAUGAAAAACAACUUAACUCCAUAAAAAUAUUUUUUUAUUGUAAAAGCUGUUGUGCAAAUUUUAAUGUACUCGCAAGCACACGAAUCUAUUGUAGUAUAGACUAAUGGUAACGAGUGUCGAUCCCACGAGGAGGUGGAUUUUAGUUAUAUAUAGAAUUAAUUUUGUAAAUGGGUAGUUGGAUUUCUGGUGGAAAUGAUUUGGAAUAUGUUAAACUUAAAUUAAAAUGGCGAGAAUAAAUUCUAAAAUUGGUAUUGAAAUGGCGAGAAUAAAUUGAAGAGAAUUAUAUUGAAAUGACGUACUUGGGUAUCUGGAUCUGUAUCAACAUGCAUCAUGGGCUAAAUAUUCUUUAUUAAUGCCAAUUAAAUCAUGAGGGGGGAAUUCACACCUCAUGAACCACGCUCUAAUCAAUAUGGUGCUAAGGGCUUAUCGUGCCAAAUAAUAAUAACCUUGUACUAGAGGGUCGGUGAAACCAAGACGGUACUAGACAAGAUUAGUAUUAUUUGUCGACGAGAAGUCAAAACAUCCACAAAAACUAGAGGGAAAGAGAAAAUAAUUUUACCAAAUUAAGCCCAUGACACAUGUUAAGACUUCACCUUCAACCCAAGCUUGAAAGAAAAUUAGCCACUCAUAAUUGAACUAGGGGCAAAAUGGGAAUUUAUUAAAAUACAAAGAAAAUACAAGAUGGAGAAGGAAUUACAGAAAACAGAGUCCAAAAAUAGAUUCAGAGAUCUCAAAUUAGGGGGGAGAGGCCCCCUUUUUAUAGAUACAUGUAGUAAAUCAUGGCCAUCGGAUUAAAAACAAUUUGGACGCUCAGGAUUGCGCCACGUCAUCAGUCAACAGUCCACGGUUUGACCACGCGGAUGAACAGUAACACGGUUUGACCCAACUUUGAACAGUAACGCGGUUUGGUUGAAAAUAAUCCUGUGUGAUGCAUGCACCGUACGCGAGAUUUUUCGUCCACUGAUAUGCUGCCACGUCACCAUCAACAGUACAUAAGAAUUUUAGUCCAACAGGAUCGUGACACCUCAUCAGUCAAUGCCACAUCAUCGAUCAAUGCCACGUCAUCAUCCGUCUAUGUGAACAGUGUCGUGAACAGUAACGUAUACAGUACCGUACACGUGAAUAGUACCGUACAUGUGAAUAGUACCGUACAUGUGAAUAGUGCCAUUUUUCCUUUUAUGCUCCUCCUAAGGUUUUUGACCGUCCUGAGUUCAAAAGUGAUGUCCGUUUUGCCAUCUGAUUUCUCCUUUAUUGUGAAAUGACUGUAAUACCCCUAAAAUACAUAAAAUACUUAAUUAAAAUAAAACACAUGUAAUUAAAUCACAAGAAGGUUAAAUACAUAAAAGUAUGGGUUGUUAGUAAGACUUGAAAUGUAAAAUGACGGUUUUCUCCUUUAUAAAUAUGCAUUUUCUAACACUCAACAAAAGCACAAUACAUAAAUCUUUGUUUAAUCAACACAUGUGGUUUGUUAUCAUCAAAAUCAAUAUCUAUAGCCAUAUAAGCUAACAGAGUCUACGAUACAAGAUUGUUUCACACUCCUCAAACUAAUAGCUCCACUUCUAGCCGGAAGUUGAUUUUCUGGAAUCCUUAUAUGAUAUAAAGUUAGAAUCAAUAUAACCCACUAGAAUGAGUUCAUCACCAGAAUACACAAGCAUAUAAUUUUUAGUUCUUUUCAUGUACUUCAUUAUAUGCUUGACUGCAGUCCAAUGUUCAGGUCCAGAAUUAGAUUGAUAUCUGCUAACCAUCCCUACCGCAAAACAGAUGUCUAGCCUAGUGCAAAGCAUGGCAUACAUGAGACUUCCCACAGCUUUUGCAUAGAGAACUCGUCACAUUUUCUCUAUCUCUUCAGAUGUUUUAGGUGAUUGAUCCUUAAAGAAUGCAAUUCCAUGUUUGAAUGGUAACAAACCAGUCUUGUAAUUUUCCAUGCUAAACUAGCCAAUAUCUUGUCGAUAUAGUCUGCUUGAGACAAGGCUAAAGUUUUAUUCUUCCGGUCUCGUAAUAAUUUGAUACCAAGAAUAUAACUUGCCUCUCCCAGCUCUUUCAUAUCAAAUUAUUUUGCUAACCAACUAUUUAUUGUAGUCAAUACUCUUAUAUCGUUUCUAAUUAGGAGAAUAUCAUCCAUAUAAAUAAUUAGGAAGGCUACAUAUUUUUCCUGAAUUUUCUUGUACAUACAUGGUCUAUCAAUAUUUUGAAUGAAUCCAAACAAAUUAAUCGCUUGAUCAAAUCUAAUGUUCCAUCACCGGGAUGCUUGCAUACCAUGUGUUCUUGGCCUUUUUGUAUGAAUCCAUCUGGUUGCUGCGUGUAGCUGUCUUAUUCAAGAUGCCCAUUAAGAAAGGCAGUCUUGACAUUCAUUUGCCAAAUUUCAUAAUCUAGCACUGCAGCAAUGGAGAGCAGAAUCCUAAUAGAUUUAAGUAUAUCAACUGGAGAAAAAGUUUCCUCAUAAUCGAUUCUCUCUUUCUGAGUAUACCCUUUGGCUACUAAUCUUUCUUUAAUUUUUUCCACCAUUCCGUCUACUCCUCUUUUUCUCUUGUAGAUCCACUUACACCCUGUAAGUUUUACCCCAUUUGGUGCCUCUACAAGUUCCCAGACUUAAUUGAAAUACAUAGAUUCCAUUUCUUGAUUCAUGGCAUUUUUUCAAAGUUCAACAUCUCUGUCUAUUAGAGCUUCGUUAUAGCUAGUAGGAACUUGUACAUGUUCAUCUGAGAUAGCCAUAUAAGUUUCUCCCAAUAACAUGUAUCUCGCAGGUAACCUAAUUACCCUCCCACUACGACGAGGUUCUAAAAGUGAUUGUUGUUCAAGGAUAGUCUUGUGUUGAUCAGCCAGUUAUUGCUGUUCUUCUUGUUCUAUAACAGGUGUUGAAAUCUAAGCAUCAACCUGAUCUCUACUGAUUUCUUUAUUUUUACAUUACUCUUAGGUUAUAAGUCAUUUAUAUAGUCUUCUUCAAAGAAAGUAAAGUAUAUGUCUAAAAAUGCAUUCCUAUCUUAAGGACUAUAAUUUAAAUUUUCCUUUAUUCAUUUAGGAUACCUAACACAUGCAAGCUUCUGAACACAAAUCCAUCUUCUUUGCCUCUAAUUCUAGUACAAAUACUAGUAAACUCCAAAUACGAAUGUGUCUCAAACUAUGUUUGUGACUUUUUCAUAAUUUCUUAGAGUAGUAGACACUGAGGUAGAUGAAAUUAAGUUCAAUAAACUUUGCAAUUUUAAAUACUAGUAUCUGGAAUAAAAAAAGUAAAUGAUAAACCACUUAGCAUAUAUCUUGUCUUAUCUAAAAGAAUCUUGUUUCUCCAUUUAAUUACACUAUUCUAUCAUAGUGUUCAUUAUAUGUGGGAGUUUAUCCCACUUGACAACCAAAUGAAGCUUGAAUUCUCCAAAGAGAUAUUCUUUGUUUCGAUCAGAUCGAAUUCUUUUAUGUUCCUGUCUAAUUGCUUCCCUGCCUUAUCCACGUAUCCUUUUUAAUUUCAAAAGUGAUGGAAUCAUGACGCAUUUAGACAAAUAUAAAUGAAAUGAAUAUUCAUCAAUAAGAUUCAUAAAAUACUCAUAACCUCUAAUAACAUGCAAACUGAUUAGUCCGUAUACAUUUGUAUGUGCUAAGUCAUCCAAUACAAUGUUAUGCUUUUGGCUAAAAAAAGCAUCCUCGUCAUAUUACUUUUCUAAAUAAGAUUUAUAGAGUGACAAUGAUCAAUCUUGAUAGGCCAACAAGCAUAUCAUUAAUCAUUUUCUUAAAAUCUUAUUAUAGUUUAUAUGACUUAAGCAUAAAUAUCAGAGGUGAGAUUGGUUAGAAGAAACAUUUCUUUUCUUAGAUAAAUGCAUAUACUUUUUAUCAUUAUAUCUUCCUUUGAAUAGAUCAAUGGACUUAUAUGACAUAAAUUGUCUUUAUAAAGAACCAAAAUAAGUAAUAAACAAAGGAUCCAAAAAUAAAAGUAUACUCCUGUUUAUAAAAACAAGCCACCGAAAUUAAAUUCCUCUAAUAUAUGGAAUAAUAAAGACAAAUAUCAAAACUAAAGUUUUGUAAAAUUGAUCUAGCAUUUCAACUGAUAUAAACUAGCAUGUCCUCAACUGUUGUUUGAAGCUUUCUUCACUUAAUCUCUUUGUUUCCUAAAAACCAAAUAAAUAAAUUACAAAUAAGAUUAGUUAUCUCAAAAUUCACUAUUGCAUGAAUCAUUAGAAAUAUGAACUAAUUAGGAAGCUUAAAGAUUUCUUAUACCUAAUUUUAAUAAUUUUAGGACAAUCUUUCUUCCAGUGACCCUUCUUUCCACAUUUGUAACACUUACCUUUUGGCUUGCCAUCUUUUUUAAUGGACAAUUUUCUCAUCUCAACUCUCUCUUGCUUAUUCUUGUCUUUCGACUUAGGCCUUGAGGAGAAUCCUUUUUCAGGAAGUUUCCUACUAUGAUAAAAUUCUUCUAUAGCAUGUAGUUUGUGCAAUAAUUCAAUUAAGGUUAUAUCUUUAUUGUUUAAGAUAUAACUUACCUUAAACUCUUUAAAUGUAUCGGGCAAAGAUUCAAUCACCAUAUUAAUCUUUGUUUUAUCAUCGAUUUGAACACCAUAAAUCUUUACUUCAUUCAAAUAGUCCAUUAUUUUUAGGACAUGAUCACGAACUCUUGUGCCCUCUUCCAUCUUAGUAUCCGUAAUAUGUUUUAACGCUGCUUCUCUGGCAAAAUGAGUAUUCUGCCCAAACAUCUUAUGAAGACUAGCCAUUAUUUCAGUGACUGUUUCCAUGCUCCGAUGUUUCUUAUGCAGUUCCACAAAAAUCAAAGCCAAUAUAUAAUGUUUAGCCAUUUUGUUAGCUUUGCACCAUUUCUUAUAAGGCUUCCUCUGAUUUCUAUAAUUGUAUAGCGUUGGUUCUAGAGGGGAUGGCUGGGUCAACACAUAUUUGUAGCCCUUAACAGUGAGAAUAUUAAAUAGAUUGUGUUUUCAAUCUAAGUAAUUUUUGCGAGUGAAUUCAUUUUUAAUAAAGAUAAUUGAUAAUGGGUUGAUAGAAGACAUUUUCUGAAAAAACAAAAUAGACAUGCAUAAACACUUUGAAAUAAAUAAUGUUCACAAUAAAUAAUCUAAAAUGCAAAAAACCAAAAAUGCUUUUUAUUUUAUUGUAAUGAUAAUCUAGUACUGUUUUGGCAAGCUAUCCGUUAGGGAAGUCAAAUCUACACUUACUAGACCCAAUUAUCCAUUGGAUUAUUUACUUUCAUGUAGAGACAUAAUAAAUAAUUAUCGUUAUCAUUUUGGGCCUAAAUUUGUUAACAAAGCUUCAUUGGGAAGGUUAAUAACAAAUUUUAGUUGAGUGUAUAAUCAUUGUUUCAAUCUACAUAUCUUCCAUAUAAUGCCGCUACCGUUAGGGUGAUCAACAGAUUGAAAAAUAUUUCAAUCUUAUUUGUAAAGAAGAUCAUCAACUAAAAUAUCUAAUAUAUAUACCAUAAGUAGGGAGCAUUACCGUAUCAUGAAGUUGAGGUAUAUAUAUAAUUUUAUUAAUGAACUAACAAUGGAGCCCGUGGAAAGAAUUAUCUUGAAUUUUUCCUCUCCCACUCAAUAUUUUAAAGUUUCUUUUUCCAAUAUACGGAUUAUAUCAUAUAUUGUUAACUGCAUGCUUCCUACAAUAAUAUUGUCUAGAUAAAAUCUAAUUUUAUUAAGCACAUGCAAAUGUCAAACAAUAUAUGUCUAGAUUCAUAAUCUAUAGAUGUCAUGUAUUAUGAUGCAUAAAGUGGCACCUCCUAUUCUAUAUGAGAUGUUAUCAUGGCAUGUUAUCAACCAAAUAUAGCAUAUAGAUUAAAAGCAAUUAAACAAUCUCAAUUCAUGGUUUUCCUAAGGAAAAAAUUGACUUUAUCUACAAGCCUAAUAUCUAUUGGGCUUUAAGUCAACAUCCAUCUUCCUUCUUUCUCUUCGUUGUACUUGCUCUUGUCCAUAACUAUUGCCUUGAGGACUUUUGGGCUUUUAAAAUUUAUCUUUGGUUCAAUUUCUAAAUUUAAAUUUGGGCAACUUUAAAAAAAAAAUCUAUUGGCUCUUUUUUUAAAAAAAAUACCUCUUUUUUUAAAAAAUUCAAACCCGAUUAGUUUAAUAAAAUAAACCCAAAUUUAUCAUUAAAAAUUCUUGAGCCAAAUAAAUUUUAUUUAUGAUCUACCAAAUUUUCAUUUAUAUAACCUAAUUUUGAAAUCCCUUAAAUGGGCUUGGGACCAAUAUAAAUAAAUCUGGACAAAUAAUAACAAUUGGGCUUAUCAAAUUUCUAUUUAUAUUAUCUAGUUGAAAGCUAAUAAUGGGCUUGGACCCUAUAUAAAUAAAUUUGAAUUUUUCUGCCCAAAACCCUAAAUCACUUAUUUUUCUUCUAGUCGCCACCAGCACAUACUGUUGGACUUAAAUGCAAAAUAAUUUCAAGCCUUGGCAGAAAACAUAAAUUAGUGAGACAAUGGGGUGUCUAAUGAAAAAAUUCAAAAGAAACCCUCCUUCCCUUCAUGCUUUUCGCUGCCAAUUCCACAGGUGCUGCCGUUUCUUCUUCUCUUUGCCGCCAUCAACUUUUCUUUGUUUCUUGGAUUCUUUACAUAAUUUUAUAAUAAAAAAUAAUAUUUAUAAGAAAUCAUAUACCAUUUGGCUUACAAAGAAUCUAAGAACAAUGAAUUAAAAUAAUUAAGAGUGAAACAUGGUGAAAAUUGACGACCUCUCAUUGUUACAAAUCUAUAAAAUUAAUACAAAGAAAUAUCUAAUCAUGAAUUGAGACAACCUUUAAUAUACUCAAUAAUUAUAUACAUUCACAAAUGAAAUAAUAUAUAAAAAUUUAGUGCCACCCAUUUUAUACACAUAAUACAAGAGAUUAAUAUGCUCAAUAAUUAUAUACAUUCACAAAUGAAAUAAUAUAUAAAAAUUUAGUGCCACCCAUUUUAUACACAUAAUACAAGAGAUUAAUUUCAUACAGUAACUCCAUAUAUUAAUAUGAGAUUGCUCUGAUACCAAUUGUUGCUUCGAAAAAUAUUUUACAAUGGAAAUAUUUGAAUCGCAAUUCUCAUACAAUAAAUAAAAUUACCAUAAUUUAGAAAUUGUACCUUUGCUUCUUCGCUGAAGUAAUCACUACAAAAAAUAUGAUUUAUUAUAGCACUAAUUUAUAGGUUUUAUAUCAAAUGCCAUCACAACCACACAUUUUCUAGCAUUUUUCAUAAAACUGCUAUUAAACUGAAAUUUUAUUAUAUGUAUAACAUUACUAUUAUGACAUAUUUUUUAAAAGUUUUAAAAAUGUUAGUUAGCAUAGCAUUUUGUAAAAAAAGUUAUAAAAUAAAUUGUUACUUAAUAGUUUUUAUGACAUUUUUUUGUAAAAUUUAUUGGAAAAAAACAAAUUAUAACAUUUUUAAAAUGCUAUAAAAAUAAAAAAAAUAAUUAAAAAAUAUUUUUUUAGGCACCAAAUUUCAUUAGAUUGGCGCCCAUAUUAUAACAUUAUAUUAUGACAUUUUUAAAAAAAAGGCUAAAUAAAUAUAUACUUAGGGUAGCGUAAUUGUAAAGAAGUUAUAAAAUAAAUAUUGAAAAGUUACUUUAUAACGUUUUAUUAAGUGCUAUAGAAUUUAUUAUAAAACAAAUCUCUAAAAUGGCGCUAAAUUUUUCAUAUUGGCGCCCAUUCUUCCCACCCCAAGAAAAAGCCCAAAAGCUUUCUAUUAUUUUUUUCCCAAAUCCCUUUCAUCUUGUUCUCUCUACAACACUAAACUUUCCCUUUUCCCCUUUUUCUAACCGGUCAAAAGUAGCUGAAUUAAAGUUCAUUUUUUUAAAUCAAUCUUUCAAGUAUGUACAAAGCUUUAAGCUUGUUACGUGCUUUAAAAGGUGAAGGAAUAAUAAUUCUUUGAUAUGCAUGCGUUACAGUACAAAUAACAGCUUUUUCGGUGUUAGUUCGUAAAGGAAUACAAAUAUGGAAAGAAUUUAAAGUUGAUUUAGUUAUAUGGAAUUUUCUUUGAAAAGGAUAUUAAUUAAUUAAAAUUGAAUAGAUGAUUGGAUAAUUAUAUGUAUGGAUGCUCUAGCUUGUUGUUGUGCAAAUUUUAAUGUACUCGCAAGCGCACGAAUCUAUUGUAGUAUAGACUAAUGGUAACGAGUGUCAAUCCCACGAGGACGUGGAUUUUAAUUGUGUACAAUUAAUUUUGUAAAUGGGUGAUUGGAUUUGUGGUGGAAAUGAUUUGGAAUAUGCUAAAACUUAAAUUAAAAUGGCGAGAAUAAAUUCUAAAAUUGGAAUUGAAAUGGCGAGAAUAAAUUGAAGAGAAUUCUAUUAAAAUGACGUACUUGGGUAUCUGGAUCCGUAUCAACAUGCAUCAUGGACUAAAUAAUCCUUAUUAAUGUCAAUUAAAUCAUGAGGGGGGAAUCCACACCUCAUGAACCACGCUCUAAUCAAUAUGGUGCUAAGGGCUUAUCGUGCCAAAUAAUAAUAACCUUAUACCAGGGGGCCGGUGAAACCAAGGCGGUACUAGACAAGAAUAUUAUUAUUUGUCGACGAGAAGUCAAAACAUCCACAACAACUAGAGGGGAAGAGAAAAUAAAUUUACCAAAUUAAGCCCAUGACACAUAUUGAGACUUCACCUUCAACCCAAGCUCGAACGGAAAUUAGCUACUCAUAAUUGAACUAGGGGCAAAAUGGGAAUUUAUUAAAAUACGAAGAAAAUACAAGAUGGAGAGGGAAUUACAGAAAACAGAGUCCAAAAAUGGAUUCAGAGAUAUCAAAUUAGGGGGGGAGGCCCCCUUUUUAUAGAUACAUGGAGUAAAUCAUGACCAUCGGAUUAAAAACAGUUUGGACGCUCAGGAUUGCGCCACGUCAUCAGUCAACAGUCCACGGUUUGACCACGAAGAUGAACAGUAACGCGGUUUGACUCGGAUGAACAGUAAUGCGGUUUGACUCGGAGGAACAGUAACGCGGUUUGGUUGAAAAUAAUCCUGUGUGAUGCAUGUACCGUACGCGAGAUUUUUCAUCCACUGAUAUACUGCCACGUCACCAUCAACAGUACAUAAGAAUUUUAGCCCAACAGGAUCGUGACACCUCAUCAGUCAAUGCCACAUCAUCGGUCAAUGCCACGUCAUUGAUCCGUCUAUGUGAACAGUGUUGUGAACAGUAACGUAGAUAGUACCGUACACGUGAAUAGUACCGUACAUAUGAAUAGUGUCAUUUUUCCUUUUAUACUCCUCCUAAGGUUUUCGACCGUCCUGAGUUCAAAAGUGAUGUCCGUUUUGCCGUCUGAUCUCUCCUUUAUUGUGAAAUGACUAUAAUGCCCCUAAAAUACAUAAAAUACUUAAUUAAAAUAAAACAAAUGUAAUUAAAUCACAAGAAGGUUAAAUACAUAAAAGUAAGGGUUGUUAGUAAGACUUGAAAUGUAAAAUGACGGUUUUCUCCUUUAUAAAUAUGCAUUUUCUAACACUCAACACACCCCCCAACUAGCUUAUUGCUAGUCCCUAGCAAAUAAAGCGAAAACAAAAUUCAAAUUCAAAAUAUUUUUUUUAAUAGAAACACUCGUAUUUAUUCCGUCAGAUUAAUGAUAGCAAUAAAAUAAAAGUAUAAGCAUUAUCUCCGGUCUAAAGCAACAUCACACCCACAUCAACCAUCCACAUGAAUCAGCCCAGUAGACUUUGUCAUAGCUACUUUCAAGAAUGACAUGUCAAACCCCAAAAUCUCACUGAAAGUAGUGACACUCUCACAAAGAAAUUAAAACCAAUAAAAAUAGUCACUCCAAUGAAUGGUAAUUGAGAGAGAAAAUAAUAAAGAAGUGAUAUCACAUGCUCUCACCAAGAUGAAAUAAAUAUGCCCUCAGCUUAUAAAUAAUACGAACUCAAGUCAAACAAAAAUGCUAGUCAACCCACUUUAUUUAUCUUCUUUUUUUUUUAUUAUGCAUCACUACAUCUUUUUAGCCCAUAUAACUAGCUUCUACUUCAAACUAUAGUUCCCUAAAAUCAAGAAGGACUUUUAUUAGGAUGUAACGUAGGCUAGGGACAUGGUUAACAAAGAAGGGAAAUAAGGAAAACAAAGUGUAUGUUUGAGAAAAAUGCAGUGAUUUUUUUUUUUUGGAAGUUGCAAGGUGGAUUUCACCUAUUAUUUUUAUUUUUAUUCUUUUGAAACAACAACUUUUAUUUUUUUUUCUCUUUUUUUUUUGGCAUAACUUCACUGAACAAAAUAAUUAUUUACAUUUUUCUCAAACAUAAAUAGGUGAUGGAACUAUAAGAUAUCGGGUAAUACUUCAAAUCGGAGUGGGUCAAGAUGAUAAGUUGACAAAGAAAAGGUUUUUUUUUUUUUUUAAAGUCUCAAAAGUGUUAAAUAUGGAUAUUUAAUAAAAGGGAUGGCUAGAAAGGCUCAAACAGAUCAAAGAUGGCCUUUCCAUCGUCUUUUAGGGCUCUAAAUAAUCAUCCAUAUCUACUAGUUAGAUGGGCCUCCCAAUGUAGCAACACACAUUUUUUUCUUUUUUUUUUUAUUAUACAAUUUUUUUAAGGGUUAACUCAAAAGCAAUUUAGAGAUCGUGUGUAAAAUAAUAAACUGCUAAGCUGUAUAAAGAGUGGGCAAAAGGGUUAUUCUCCAAGAAAAAUAAUAGGCUCAAAAACUCACUUGGUACUUAUUAUGACAUGUUCAUUCCUUCAAGCAACGCAUAUUUGUCUCCGACAUCAACAUGUAGAGUAGCAAACAUAAUGUAACAUCACUUAAGACCAAAGAUAAUACAAAUACUAAAAUUUAAAAUUAAUCAUGUCAUCUAAUGUUAAAACAAAUCACAAAAUUUUUUUUUUUUAAACAACAUUCUACCCCCCAACCUAUUCUAAACAUGAAAGGAAAAUAUGCAUGCAGAAAUGUGAAAAUGAUGCAUAAAAACUAAUUAGAAAAGUUACACGUAAAAUGAUAGAAAACGAAAAUAUUUUUUUUUUUUAAAGAAGAUGCGUUUCUAGAGGAACUACACUCCAUAUUCAGCCAUCUUCGACUCACAAGUUGGAGAAUGUAUAUUUAUAGAGGAGAGAUUAAAAAGAAGAAAAAUAAACAUAAAAACAUAAUAAAGAAAAUGUCUGAAAUUUUUUUUAGUUUUUUAAUUUUUUUUUUUUACGAUGAAGAUGCGUUUCUAGAGUCACUACACUCUAUAUUCAGCCAUCUUCGACACAAAAAGUGAGCAACAGUUAGUUUCUACAACAAAAAUUAGUAAAAACUUAACCAAAACUCCACAAUUGUCGACUAUUCCCUCCCCCCAACCAGAACGAAACAUUGUCCUCAAUGUUUGAAAGGAAAGAAGUAGAGUUUAGAAAACAUCACCUGGGUGGUGCAACACAGAAAACAAUAUUUACAAGCGGAGAGUUAAAUCUAAUUUGUACUUCUUACUGCGGCUACUGUUACCAUCAUUAUUUGGGCGCUCCAACACAAAGGUCCAGGGGUCUGGCUCCGGUUUAUAAGCUUGUAACAUAUCAAGUAGCUCAUUAGCAGUGUGAGCACAAAUAAAAAGUUUUUUUACAUUAGAAGGAAUGAAAUAGUUUUUUAUUGCAUGGUUAAGAAAUGCGAUAAAGCCAUCAUAAAAGUUAUUGACAUUCAAUAAACCGAUGGGUUUUUGGUGGAUGUGCAAAUGGGCCCAAGAUGCUAGCGUGAUAAGUGCCUCUAGUGUUGCAAGAUCUCCUGGAAGAAAAAUAAAAGCAUCAGCAUGAUUAAGCAUUUCAGUUAUUCUUUCUUGCAUACCUGAGACGACUAACUCUUCUCCAGUUGAUGAGUCAGACAAACUGCCCAAUGGUUUUAAGACUCUUGGGAUGAUGCCUAACACUUGACUUCCUCUGAUAAAAGCUGCUUCUGAGAUCAUUUUUGAUAACCCUCGAUUACCUCCUCCAUACACCAAGUGUAAUUUUCUCGCUGCUAUGCUUCAACCAAGAUCUAUGGCUGCCUCAACGAACUCUUUAUGUUUGCCAUAUGUAAAUCCAGAAAGCACACAAAUGUUCUUGAAUUGUCUAUUGGGAGUAGCUGACAUUGUGAUACUUCUCAAAAACAAUUUGUGAGUGCUUGACAAAAAAGAAAUCACAUUUAAGAGUCUCGGUGAUAUUGGGUCAUGGUUGUGUAUGAGGUAAUAUGUCAGUGUCAAAUAAUGCGUAAAGCACGUUGCUCGCAAGUCAAAAAGAAAACAGUAAAAAGGAAAAAGUAAACAGUAAUAAAAUUAUUAAAGACAAUAAUGCAAACAAUAAGACAAUAGUGAAAUAAAAUAACAAUAAAGUAAAAGGAUAUUUACAGGUAGUUGCGACUGUGGCUCACAUCUUCCUCUGGUUUUACGUCCAGAAACGGCUUGAACGCCCUCUAUGGGUUGAGGAUAGGCUUCCUAUCCAGUUUUCUUAUAAACUGGCAAACAAGGUCGUUUAUAGUCAGAUUCCCAAGACUAUAUCGUGCAUGCUCUUUCUGGAAUAAUGGCCAUAACUGGAGAAUCGCUCCUUGCACAUAUCCACUAGGAUGCGUUUCAAGAGACAAAAGGAUAUCAUCCAAUGACUCCUUAUUCAAGCCAUCCCUAAUGAAUUGAAUCUUAUCUUCCCUGUUAUCAGACAUCAUUCCUAAAGAACAUGGGUUUUUAUUGCAACUCAUUCUGGCACACUUAUGACAAGCAACAGAAAUUCUUCGAGCUCGUCGUUUUCUUGCAUAAUUUCCUUUACCACAACCAGGCAUGUAUGCAAUAAAUUUUGGAGGUAACUCACCUGCCGAUCGUACUUUAGUCUCGAUUAACCAACGGAUGUCAGCAGGUAUGUUAUUCCUCAUGAGUAAUCGCAUGCGUUCGGACCAAGCUUUAUAGAUCGUAAGGAGGGCAUUCUGAGGAAGUGAAGGGAAUCGCUUGUGAAGUUUCGCUAGAAUCUCGUUUCUGUCCAUACCUUCGCCUCAGAAUAUCAGUUAUUAUGGGAAACUGAAGUAACCGACUUGAUUGUCACGGAGUACCGUUAUCUGCCACUUCACCGGGGUAACAAACUAAAGCACACAAACAGAAAAAUAAAUUAAAACACACAAAGAAAAUUAAAAUCGUCCUCUUAUUGAAUUUACCUCAAGCUCCAACUGGAUGUCGUAAACACUUCUCUCAAUGUCUCUGAGCUGGCUUUCUAAAGCCUCAACAUAGGCUACUAACUCUGAUGGUUGUAGAGCCCAAAUGCGAUGUGUUUUACAAAAUUGAAUCUGCCUUUUGAGAUGAGUUUUGACACGUUGAAGUGGUUUAAGAAUGUUCAGGAGGAACGGUCUAAGUAAGGUACUCAUGAUUAAAAACGAUAAAAGAAAACUUAAUGGUAAAAUAAACACACUUAUGCAAAAACAAUUUCAAUUAGCAAGAGAAUAAUAAUAAAAAGAAAGAAAGAAAAAUCAAAUCAACGAAAAGAAAAAAAAAUCAAUUCAAAUUUGGUGGGUCAUUCAAAUUUAUUUCAGUGUCUUCUCUAUGUAGUUGGUACUCUAGAUAUGGCUUUAAUCUUUGACCAUUAACUUUAAACGUGACACCGUUCUUUGGGUCCUUAAUUUCAAUUGCCCCAUGUGGAAAAACAGUAUGUACAAUAAAUGGGCCAGACCAACGAGAGCGUAACUUACCUGGGAAUAGGUGCAAGCGAGAAUUGAAUAAAAGCACUUUCUGACCUGGAGUGAACGAUUUUCUCAUAAUUUGCUUAUCAUGGAAGACUUUCAUUCAUUGCUUGUAAAUCUUGGCAUUUUCGUAUGCAUCAUUGCGAAUUUCUUCAAGUUCUGCCAGCUGUAAUCUUCUUUCUGAGCUGGCUUGCUGCAUGUCAAAGUUGAAUUUCUUGAUGGCCCAAUACGCACGAUGCUCGAGUUCCACAGGUAGGUGGCAAGCUUUUCCAUACACUAGUCUGUAGGGUGACAUCCCAAUCGGGGUCUUGAAAGCCGUUCUAUAUGCCCAUAAUGCAUCAUCAAGUCUUAAUGACCAAUCUUUUCUGUCUAGCCUCACCGUCUUUUCUAAUAUGUGCUUUAUUUCUCGAUUGGAGAUCUCAACUUGGCCACUGGUUUAUGGAUGAUACGGGGUCGCCACUUUGUGAGUGAUUGAAUACUUUGUCAAAAGAGCUUUGAAUGCUUUGUUACAAAAGUGGGCACCACCAUCACUGAUUAUUGCUCGAGGGAAUCCAAAGCGUGAAACAAUGUUGCUUUUCAAAAAUCCUAUCACCACCUUGUGAUCAUUGGUCCUACAUGGAAUUGCUUCUACCCAUUUCGAUACGUAGUCAACAGCAACCAAUAUGUAUUGAUGGCCAAAAGAAGGGGGAAAGGGUCUCAUGAAGUCGAUACCCCAUACAUCAAAAAUCUCAACCACUAAAAUUGGAUUUAGUGGCAUCAUAUUCCUUCGCGUGAUGCUCCCCAUUCGUUGACACCUAUCACAUGAAGAACAGAAAGUGUAAGCGUCUCGAAAUAUAGUUGGCCAAUAGAAACCACAUUGUAAAACUUUAGUUGUUGUUUUCUUAGCACUGAAAUGGCCUCCACAAGCUUGUUCAUGGCAGAAUGAAAGGAUAUUCGGAAUUUCACUUUCUGGGACACAUCGUCUAACAAUUUGGUCUGCACAAUACUUGAACAAAUACGGGUCAUCCCAAAAGAAAUUCUUUAUUUCUGCAAAGAAUUUAGCCUUGUCUUGCUUGGUCCAAUACUCUGGAAGUUUACCUGUAACAAGAUAAUUAACUAUAUCAGCAUACCAAGGUAAUACUUCCACAUUCAUUAAUUGUUCAUCUGGAAAUGACUCAUUCAAUAUUAAUGGCUCUGUAAUUGUGUCAAAAUGGACACGAGAGAGGUGGUCCGCCACAACAUUUUCUGUCCCUUUCUUAUCUUUGAAUUCCAAGUCAAAUUCCUGCAAAAGUAACACCCAACGAAUUAGUCUAGCUUUUGCAUCUUUCUUUGUGAGAAGAUAUUUAAGAGCAGCAUGAUCUGUGAAUAUAAUUAUUUUACAACCAAUGAGAUAAUAUCGAAAUUUUUCCAAUGCAAACACUACUGCUAGCAUUUCUUUUUCAGUAGUUGAAUAGUUCAACUGUGCAUCAUUUAAUGUCAUACUAGCAUAGUAAAUAACGUGGGAAAUUCGAUCAACUCUUUGUCCUAAUACUGCUCCUACUGCAUAAUCAGAUGCAUCACACAUUAGCUCAAAUGGUAAGCUCCAGUUUGGGCCCUAAAUGAUGGGUGAUGAUGUCAACAACUGUUUUAAUUUUUCAAACGCCAUAAGACAUGAAUCAUUAAAGAUAAAAGGUACAUCCUUAGCAAGUAAAUUGCAUAAGGGUCUAGAAACUUUGCUAAAAUCUUUAAUGAAACGUCUAUAGAAACCAGCAUGCCCAAGGAAAGAUCUUACUUCUCUGACUGUUUUGGGUGGAGGAAGAUUAGAAAUGAGAUCCACUUUGGCUUUGUCAACCUCAAUACCUUUGCUCGAAAUGAUGUGACCGAGAACAAUACCUUGUUUUACCAUAAAAUGACAUUUCUCCCAAUUUAAGACCAAGUUCUUCUCGAUACAUCUCUGCAGAACUAGUGUUAGAUGAUGUAAACAUUGAUCAAACGAGUCACCAAAGACAGAAAAAUCAUCCAUAAAGACUUUAAGGAAUUGUUCAACCAUAUCAGAAAAAAUGCUCAACAUGCAUCGUUGAAAUGUAGCAGGUGCAUUACAUAAUCCAAAUGGCAUUCUCCUAUAUGCAAAUGUGCCAAAAGGGCAAGUGAAAGUAGUUUUCUCUUGAUCUUUUGGUGCUAUGGGAAUCUGAUUAUAUCCUGAGUAGCCAUCUAGAAAGCAAUAAAAUUCAUGGCCUGCUAAUCUAUCAAGCAUUUGAUCAAUAAAUGGUAAAGGAAAAUGGUCUUUACGUGUGACAGAAUUCAACUUUCUAUAAUCAAUGCAUACACGCCAUCCUGUAGUUACCCUAGUUGGUAUCAAUUUAUUAUCAGCAUUGGUAACUAUUGUGACUCCUGACUUUUUGGGGACAACUUGUACAGGACUGACCCAUGAACUAUCAGAAAUUGGGUAAAUGAUACCUGCGUCUAAUAGCUUAAGGACUUCAGUUCUAACAACUUCUUUCAUGUUAGGAUUUAACCGACGUUGCAUUUCCCUAGUAGAUUUAGCAUUUUCAUCAAGGUGAAUGUAAUGCAUGCAGUCUACUAGUUUUAUACCUUUUAUGUCUGCUAUGGUCCAUCCUAAUGCCCUUUUGUGCUCUUUCAAAACAUCCAACAACUUACCUUUUUGUUCGUCAUUUAAGGAUGAUGAGAUGAUUACCGGCAGAGUACUUUCUUCUCCCAAAAAUGCAUAUUCCAGAGUGUUGGGUAAUGGUUUGAGCUCGAGUUUCGGUGGUGAUUCUGAUGAUGGGAUGAGUUUCUUCUCUGAUGGUGCUAGUUGCUCAACUCUUGACUUCCAUUUAUUAGUGUCCAUAGAUGGUGCUGAGUCAAGCAGGGCGUUGACCUCAUCGAUCGAUCUGUCAAUAUCAAAAUUCAAACCAAAGUGAGUUAAACAUGUUUGUAAAGGAUCAUCACUAAGGUUUGAAACAAAAGUAUCAUCAACUAAUGCUUCAAUUAAAUCCACAUCAACAAUUCCAUCAUUUGCACUGUGAGGUUGUUUGGCAAUGUUGAAGAUGUUCAGCUCCAUAGUCAUGUUGCCGAAAGACAACUGCAUAUUUCCAGUCCUGCAUUGAAUGUGAGCAUCCGCAGUUGCCAAGAAAGGUCGGCCUAGAAUAAUGGGGAUGUGCUUUCUUGAAUCCUGUAUUGGUUGAGUGUCAAUUACAAUGAAAUCAACAGGAAAAUAAAACUUGUCUACCUGGAUAAGCACGUCCUCCACAAUACCACGAGGUAUUUUUGUGGACCGAUCUGCAAGUUGUAACACCAUUGGAGUUGGGUGUAAUUCUCCAAGUCCAAGUUUCACGAAUACAGAGUAAGGCAAAAGAUUUACACUAGCUCCUAAAUCCAACAAAGCAUUCUCAAUUGUGUGGUUCCCUAUACUACAUGAGAUAGUGGGGGAGCUUGGGUCUUUGCAUUUUAAAGGAAUUUUAUGUUGGAGUAUAGAACUAACGUUUUUUGUUAAAAAUGCCUUCUUUUGAACAUGUAUGUUUCUCUUUUUAGUACAAAGGUCUUUAAGAAACUUGGCAUAAGAUGGAACUUGUUUAAUAGCAUCAAGCAAAGGGAUGUUAACACUUACCUGUUUGAAGAUUUCAAGAAUCUCACCUGUGGAUUUUCCCUUUUUUCCUUUCGCUAACCUCUGAGGAAAUGGAGCUUUCGGAACGUAUUCUCGUGGGUUGGUUUCUUCUUUCUCCUCCGGUGAUGAUUCCUCAACAUUCACAGGUACAAUUUGAUUUUCUUUUGUCACCGGCAUCUCCACUUUGUUGUCGACUUCUUUUCCUUUUCGCAAGGUCAUUACUGUUUUGACUUCUCCAUGCUGCUGUGGUGAACUGGUACUUGCUUCAUGCACUCCUUUAGGGUUAAGCACUGGUUGACUUGGAAACUUACCUUUCUCAACGGUCAUUGCCUAGGUCUGAACUGAAGAAGCAAGUUGUCCCACCAUCUUCUCGAGGCUUGAAACUAAUUGGGCUUGUGAGUUGAAGCCCGCUCUUAAUUCAUUUCGUAGUCCAUCAAUGGUGCGGUUCUGUUGCUCAAUCGUAGAGUGAGUAAGAUUCUUGAGAUUCUGGAAUGAAUCCUCCCAUGGUCUAGGUUGAGAGUAGUUCUAGUUCUAAUUAUAUGGUCUAAAUGGGGGCUGAGAGGCUUGAGGAGUUUGAGAAAUUUGUUGCAUUGGUGGAGCUGGAGUUGCUGGUCCAUUCUGUUGGAAUCCUUGAGACCAUGAAAAAUUGGGGUGGUCUCUCCAUCCAGGGUUAUACGUGUUGGAGUAUGGGUUGUAAUUCGAUGAUUUUCUCAUUACACCUAUGGCAUUGGCUUGAUCUGAGUAUGAGUCAUGGUCAUGUGGUUUUGUUGAUUUAGCAGUCGAUAACAAUGCUAUUUGUCGAGAGAGACCUUCAAUUAUUGCUUUGACUUCUUUAAUUUCUGAACUGGAUUCGCCAAUUUGAACCUCAUUUACUCCCUUAAUUCUUCUGGUAUUCCUGAGUGAUCGACUCCGUUGUUGGGAAUUAUCUGCUUGUCGCUGGAAGAAUUCCCAAAUCUCUAAUGCACUUUUUGACAUUAGCUCUCCUCCACUUGUUGCCAUUAGCCAUUCUUGCACAUUUGGUAGUAAUCCCUCCAAAAAGUAUUGGCAUUAGUGCCAUUUCUCGUACCCAUGUUGUGGACACUUCAAGAGUAGCCCAUUGAAUCGCUCCCAUGUUUCGAAAAAUUGCUCGUCUUCUCUCUGUGUAAACUCUGAAAUUUUCCUGCGAAUAGCAUUGGUUUUAUGCACUGGGAAAUAUUUAUUCAAAAAUUUAGUUACCAUUUGUUCCCAUGAUGUAAUGCUAUUAGCAGGCAAAGUAUUUAACCAUGAACAAGCUCUAUCCUUUAAAGAAAAUGGGAAUAAUCUGAGUUUAACAUAAUCGUCUGAAAAAUUCUCAUAUUUAAAUGUUUGACAAAUGGCAUGAAAAUCAUUCAGAUGAUUAUAUAGGUCCUCAUUUUCUAAGCCAUAGAAUGUGGGGAGACAAUUUAGCACACUAGGUUUUAGUUCAAAACUCCUAGCAGCUACAUUUGGGUAUCUUAUGCAUGAUGUGCUCAAAUUUGCUAAAGGACUGAAAUAAUCCUUAAAUGGUCUCUCCUGUGGUGCUUGUAAAUCCAUUUUAUUUUUAACGUGUUUGUGUGUGCGAAGUGUUUUUUCUAAUUCAAGGUCUAUAGGUUCAAGAUUAGGAAAUAAUGACCUACGACCAUGCAUGCAAAAUAAAUCAAAUGAAAAUAAAGAUGGGAAUAAAACAAAUAAAAAUAAAUAAGAGGGAGAAAUUACGAUACUAACCUUUUUGCGCUAUUAAAUCCUUUCUAUAAAAAUACACAAAAACAAAUACGUGAAAUAAAUUAACUAAAAAUAAAUUAAUAAGAUAAACAAAAAAAAUUACAAAGAAAAAUAAAUUAAAAAUUAAAUUACAGAAUUUUAAACAAGAGAAAAAGAAAAGAAAUACUAACCUUUAAAUGUAGAUUCACUUUAUUUCUUUUUUCUUUUUUUUUAAUAAUAAAAAAAAUACAAGAAAACAAAUAAAAGAAAUUAUUCACAAAAAUUAAUUCUAUGAAUUAAAAUUACUUACCUCUCCAGCAACGGCGCCAAAAACUUGUUGUGCAAAUUUUAAUGUACUCGCAAGCGCACAAAUCUAUUGUAGUAUAAAUUAAUGGUGACGAGUGUCGAUCCCACGAGGAGGUGGAUUUUAAUUGUGUAGAAUUAAUUUUGUAAAUGGGUGAUUGGAUUUGUGGUGGAAAUGAUUUGGGAUAUGCUAAAACUUAAAUUAAAAUGGCGAGAAUAAAUUCUAAAAUUGGAAUUGAAAUGGCGAGAAUAAAUUGAAGAGAAUUCUAUUAAAAUGACGUACUUGGGUAUCUGGAUCCGUAUCAACAUGCAUCAUGGGCUAAAUAAUCCUUAUUAAUGCCAAUUAAAUCAUGAGGGGGGAAUCCACACCUCAUGAACCACGCUCUAAUCAAUAUGGUGCUAAGGGCUUAUCGUGCCAAAUAAUAAUAACCUUGUACUAGGGGGCCGGUGAAACCAAGGCGGUACUAGACAAGAAUAUUAUUAUUUGUCGACGAGAAGUCAAAACAUCCACAAAAACUAGAGGGGAAGAGAAAAUAAAUUUACCAAAUUAAGCCCAUGACACAUGUUGAGACUUCACCUUCAACCCAAGCUUGAAUGGAAAUUAGCUACUCAUAAUUGAACUAGGGGCAAAAUGGGAAUUUAUUAAAAUACGAAGAAAAUACAAGAUGGAGAGGGAAUUACAGAAAACAGAGUCCAAAAAUGGAUUCAGAGAUAUCAAAUUAGGGGGGGGAGGCCCCCUUUUUAUAGAUACAUGGAGUAAAUCAUGGCCAUAGGAUUAAAAACAGUUUGGACGCUCAGGAUUGCGCCACGUCAUCAGUCAACAGUCCACGGUUUGACCACGAAGAUGAACAGUAACGCGGUUUGACUCGGAUGAACAGUAACGCGGUUUGACUCGGAUGAACAGUAACGCGGUUUGGUUGAAAAUAAUCCUGUGUGAUGCAUGUAUCGUACGCGAGAUUUUUCAUCCACUGAUAUACUGCCACGUCACCAUCAACAGUAUAUAAGAAUUUUAGCCCAACAGGAUCGUGACACCUCAUCAGUCAAUGCCACAUCAUCGGUCAAUGCCACGUCAUUGAUCCGUCUAUGUGAACAGUGUUGUGAACAGUAACGUAGAUAGUACCGUACACGUGAAUAGUACCGUACAUAUGAAUAGCGCCAUUUUUCCUUUUAUACUCCUCCUAAGGUUUUCGACCGUCCUGAGUUCAAAAGUGAUGUCCAUUUUGCCGUCUGAUCUCUCUUUUAUUGUGAAAUGACUAUAAUGCCCCUAAAAUACAUAAAAUACUUAAUUAAAAUAAAACAAAUGUAAUUAAAUCACAAGAAGGUUAAAUACAUAAAAGUAAGGGUUGUUAGUAAGACUUGAAAUGUAAAAUGACGGUUUUCUCUUUUAUAAAUAUGCAUUUUCUAACACUCAACACUUGUCAUAAAAUUGGUUAUCAAGAUUGUAAUUAAUUAAUGAACAAGCGAAACAACAUAAACAAGAUUAAUUAAUGCACAAGUCGAAAACAUAGACAACAAAAAUUAUGUAAGUAAUUGUUUGUGAUAUAUGCUGGCAAGUGAGGCCUUGAAGGAUGCAGACAUCUCUGAAUUUGUUCACAUUUAUAAAGACAAAGAAUUAGAAAUCUGGUAUGUAUUUGUGUUUAUGAGGAAUAGUACUUAGGAUGGGACGAUGAAGGAUAUCAAAUUCCAAAUGACGAAAAUGAAUACCCAUCUCGUUUGGAUGUGGUUAAGGUUGACAUUUAAAAGAAUCUUGAAGAGAUUGAUGAUGAUGAUUAAUUAAUUUUAUCUUUUUCUACUAGUCUUUUAAUUUCAGUUGAAUUCACUAUUAAUAACAAGUACCCAUUGAAUAAUUGAAUCUGCUAUUGUUAUAGCUAGCUGUUGUUCCUCUAUUGAUAGCCCUGAAAAAUUGAAAUUACCUAGCAAAUGUAAUUGUGUAUUAGGAGAUCUAUAAUCUGCUUUGAUUUUGAUAUUUUCAUUUUCUUUUAUACUUGAGUGCACAUUGUUUACAAAUUUUAUUCUUAAUUAUAUAUUUAGUUUAUUUAUUUAUGUUAUUGAACAGGGAAAUAAUUAAGAGUUUGGGAGUAAAAUUAUAUAAAAUAUCAAGAAUUGGAAAGAAUUGAAGAAGCAUUACUCUUAAUUAUUAACUUUUUCUUGUUUCUUUUUGUGUUAUGAGUUAUAUAUUAUCUACUAUACAUGCAUUUUUUUUCCUUUCAGGUGUAAAAAUAAUAAAAAUAUCCUUUCUUUUUGAUAUAUUUCAUGACUUUAUGGUCUCAGGUCAAGUGAGUGAAAUAUGAGUGUGCAACCCAAGGGGGGGUGAAUUGGAAUUUUAAAAUUUAUCAUAGCAAAUCCACACAACAAGCAAUCUAAUGUCUUAAUAAAAAUUGAAAGCAAUAAGUUCAAUAAAAGCACAAUAAUUAAAGAGUAAGAGAGAAGAGAAACAAACACACGAAUUUUUACGUGGUUCGGCAAUCCCCGCCUACGUCCACGCCUCCAAGCAAUCCAAGCUUGAGGAUUUCACUGUCCAAGCCUUUCCAAGGCUUCAACGAUUACAAUUGACUUCGAGGUGUCAAUAAACCUUUACAACAAAUAGAUUAUCUCCCAAUCUCUUCACUCAAGUGUCUCACACACUCAAACUCUUACAAUUGAGAUGAAUAAAUGAAGGUUACAAUGAAAAUCACUUAAUGAGUAGAUAUUCAAAAAUGAAAAACAAGAAAAGAUUCAAUGUUUGUAUUUCGCAAGUUUGAAGGCUCAAGAUAUCACGUGUGCUUUUUGUUUUUGCUUGUUGGAGAACUUCAAAAUGAGUUGGAUUUGAGUUCUUAUAGUUUGAGCUCAAAAACUAGCUGUUACUCACAUUCUAGGUGUAUCCGGUUUGCCGUUUAUGGAAUUCGGUAAGCCGGAUUUAUGUUACCGUUAAGGCAAAAAUUUGAAUUUUGCCUAUCCGGCUUGCUGGUUUCGGAAUCCGGUAAGCCGUUUGUGUUCUGGAUGCAUUCUGCCCCGUAUCCAGUUUUUCUAAUUUUAUAUCCGGUAAGCCGGAUGCUACAGUAACCUGCUACAGUAACCUGCUACAGUGAAAUUUUUCCUAAAUUUUUAGUUUAACCCCAAAACUUUAUAAAACUGUAGUAUGACCCAAAACGUUAUGAAACUUUGUAAAUAGGUUCAAUUUCAAAAUUUCUAAGUAAUGCUUCGUUGAUCCCAAAACUUUCUGAAAUUAUGAUUUCGCCCAAACUUUGUGAAAUUAUAGAAUGACCUAAAAAUAUUUAAAUAGUUUCAAAUAGAUCCAAAUCUGAAAUUUAAAAUACUAUCAAGGAUUUUAAAAAUACUUUCAUUUUAGUCCAAAAUGUUUUAAUUCCAUAACAUCAUUUUCUUAUUAUAAAAGCACAAUUCAUAAAUCUUUGCUUAAUAAAUACAUGUGGUUUAUUAUCAUCAAAAUCAAUAUUUAUAGCCAUAUAGGCUAACAAUCUCCUCCUUUUUUAUGAUGACAAAAUACAUUAAAAACUUUAAUCUUGUUAUGAAAAAGCUCCCCCUUAAUCAAUGCAAGUUAAAAAAUGAUUUGAAAAUUGUUUAACAAAAACUCCCCAUGCAUACAUGCUCCCCCUAGAUAAAUGCAUAUUUUCAUAACACAUAUUAAAUCAUUCUCACCCUUCAUCAUCAAAAAGAAUAAAAGUGAAAUGCAAGUAACGCAACCCAAGAGGGGGGUGAAUUGGGUUUUUAAAAAUAAUGCAAUACGAUUCGCACAAUAAAUCACUCUAAUGCCUUAAUGAAGUAGAGAACAAUAAAUUCAAGCAAGCGUAAAGAUAAAAUCAAGGGAAGAGAAAAACAAACACGCGGAUUUUUACGUGGUUCGGCAAUCCCCGCCUACGUCCACACCUCCAAGCCAACCGAGCUCGAGGAUUUCACUAUCCAAGCCUCCCAAGGCUUCAAGUUUUUACAAUUGACUUCCAAGGUGUCAAUGAACCUUUAAAACCAAGAGAUUAUCUCCCCAAUCUCUUCAACCCAAGUGUUUCCCACACUUACACACUCACAAUUUGAUAAGAAAUGAAAAUUACAACAAAAACUCUCUUUAAGAGUUGAUAUGCAACUAAUAGCUCAACAAUGAUUCAAUCAAUGAUGAUUUGCAUUUUGGAAGCUCAAUAUAUGUUGUAUGAUCUUAUAUUUGCGUGUAUUAGUUCUUAAAAUGAAGUUUGAGUUGAGUUUUUAUAGUGGAAGCCCAAAAACUAGCCGUUAUAGGCAAAUUCCAGUGCUCAAGCGGUUAGCCGCUUGAUUUAUCCGGCUAGCCGCUCAGGAACAGUAAUGUUACCGUUAUUUUUGAAUUUGCUACAGUAACACUAUUCACUAAAAUUACUUUUUGACCUAAAACUUUCUAUAAUUAUACUAUAGCCCAAAACGUCAGAAAACUUUGCAAAUAGGUCCAAUUUCAGAACUUCUCAAGAAUAGUUGUCUUUCCCAAACUUUUUAAAAUUAUGAUAUGGCCCCAAAGAUUUUAUUGUUUUGCACAAAUACCCAUAUUUUUCAAAGUUCUCAAAAACUUUCACUUUAGUUCAAAAUAUUCAUAAAUUAUAGUAUGGCCCAAAAUAUUUAAAAUGUUUGUAAAAACAUCCAACUCUGAAAUUUGAUACUUAUUAAAAUCAAAGAUUUCAAAUCUUAACAUUUAAGUCCAAUUUACUCAAAUCCACAAAAUACUUUACUUUAUAAAAAUAAAAUAUUUUAGUUUAUGAAAAGUAUUUAAUUAAAUUAAUCUCUUGAGCUUCUCAAAUGCUAAAUCAUGCAUCAAUUAAAUAAUACCGGCUUUACAAGAAUUUGUCGCAAUAAUUCGUCCGUUGAGCUCUAAGUUUUAUUCUUGAUUUCGCCGUUGUCCGUUGAGUGCCUUCAAUCUUGAUUUCACUUGAUUCACUUGCAUAAAUAUUAUCCUUAAAAAACUAGUGUAAAUGUGAAAUACAAUAUUUAUUAUUUUUACUUAAGACACAUGUUUGUUAUCAUCAAAAUUACAUUAUGUGUAGCCCUUUAGGCUAACAAAAAGCUCCCCCUAUCAAUCAUCAAAAUCGCUACAUAAGCACAUUAAAACAAAAAAAAAAUAUCCAUAAGCAUAAGAAAAUCCAUACAAUCCAUAAUGAUCAAUCAAAACAAAUCCAUAACAUUCAACAUAAAUAGUCACAACAAAUCCAUAUCAUCCAAAACAAAGACAUAAACCGAAAAGCAUAAUAACCAUCCAUAGAUUCGAAAAUAAACGAACACACAAUACAGUAAAUGAAAUGUAGAUGUGUCCAAGUACAAGUAUAAGAUACUACUCAGGUGGUGAGGAUGGAGGUGAUGGAGGUGGAAACGGAUAUGAAAUGCCGAAGUGCUCGAAGAGGAGGCGCUGUCCAUGAAUAAUCUGCUGCUGCUGCUGCUGAAACUCAGUCUGCCGCACAGAGAGUGUCCGCACUUCAUCCAUAAUCUGCUUAAGAGUGACCUCUUCAGAGGUAAGAGGAUGUGGAGGUGAUGAAGCGGAUGCAGAUGCACUAGGAGCUGAAGCAACCGUAGAAGAAACUCGGCGUCUACGCUGCCCUCGAAAUGAGAGUGAGAAAACUAGAAGCUGAUCAGCUGGAAUCAUAGCAUUAAGUGGCCGAUCAUCACUUUGGGCUAGAAAGGUAAACUUGUUAUCGCUGUAUUUGACCCAAGUGCCAUCCUUCCACUCAAAGCCUAAACCAAAAAUAACAUCAUCCCCAAUACCCUUGGACGGCCUACAAGAUGGUUCUAGAAUCGACACUUCAAAGAAUUUAAGAAUCGGGUAAUGGAGUGACCAUAAGGAAGAGACCGGGUAAUCAAGGCAGGAAUGCUCAACAUUGUGCGGAUGAUUGAAUAGCCCAAGUUAACCGGGCGACCUCUAAGAAUGCAGUCAAUCAUGGUGACAUCCAUGUGAGAAACCUCAUCCAAAUGUCCUGAUCUAGGAAGUACAAUGGACUGGAUGAUACGAAGCAAAAAAAGAGUUUGAAGACAAAGACACUGAGUACGGAAAUGAAUGGUACAGUCUUCAACAGAAAGAUCACUACGCCAACAAAUGUUACAAAUGGCAUCAACAUGAACAUAGUCAUCAAUAUCAGAAGGUUUCCUAAGAGAAAAAAUGUCCAGGCCAUCAUCGGAAGAUCCUAGGAUGGAGUUCAACUCCGAAUCAUCAAAUUCAAUCAAAACGCCUCUAACUGUAGUGAUUACUCGAUUCUCUUUCUCCGCGGAACAAUCCAUAUUCGAGUAAAAUACUUUCACCAAGUCGGGAUACACAUUCUCCUCAAUCAACAAUGCAUCAAUCCAACCAACAUCUCCCAACAAUUGAAAUAUAUUUCUAUGGCUAAUCUUGAGAGUAUGCAUAACAUCCGUUAAAACAAAGAAAGUGUUGAGUACCUCACGAGUCUGAAAGUUUUGUUGAAACCGUUUGAUCAAGUGUUGCUUGUUCUGAAAAUGAAUGGACUCAAAAGUGGAUUGAUUUGAGGUGCCCCUUGCUUCCCGUGGGCGCAUGGUUGGUUGAACCGAUUCUUUGCCUUUUCUUCGAACCGGCCGAGAGCUUGACAUUUUGAUUUUGAUGAAUUUGAAGAUAAAAACACCAAAGAGAAUGAAGAUGAUGAAGAUUGAAAGUGAUUUGGAGAAACAAAUUGGAUCAAAAACAGCUUGAGUGUGAGAAAUCUAGAGAGAGAAAAAUCGGUCCAAAAUCUAGGUUGAAAUUGGGAUCUAAGGAUUCAAAUGUUGAAAAUGAAUUUCAAGGAUGAUUUUGAGUUCUUAAUGAGAUGGAGAAUGAUUUUCUUGAUUCAAUUUGAUGUGAAAAGGAUAGAAAAUGAAGGAUUUUGGAGUGAAAAAGAGAGAGAAUGGAAACGGUUUGUAGAGAGAGUGGAAACCGGAUUGCCGAAAAGAGAGAGAGGAAGGAGAUGAAUAGCACAAAACUCACGAAUCCGGCUUGCCGGAUUUCCUAACCGGCAAGCCAAUUAGAGGGCAGAAAGGUGAAAGCCGAAAACGACUUUCCGAAUUUGGAAUCCGGUAGACCGGAUAUGGACCCGAGAGCAGCAAGAGGGAAUUCGGCUUGCCGGUUUCCUUAACCGGCUGGCCGGUUUCGAGAGCCUCCAAAAAUUCAGUUUUUCGGAUUGUCUUGAACUGGAAAUCUGGUUUUGUUCCUGCUAGUUUCCACGCGAAUUCAGUUUUCCGGUUUUGAUAACCGGUAGACCGGUUGAGAGGCAGUGAAUUCCCUUCCAAAUUCGGUUUUCCGGAUUUAGGAACCGGUAGACCGGUUAUGAGGCAGAGAGGUGCCUUAGCAAAUCUGGUUUUCCGGAUUGAAAAUCCGGUUUUCCGGAUUGAAAAUCCGGUUAUCCGAAUGUUGUUCCGAGAGCAACCAAAAUUAAUCCGGUUUUCCGAAUUGAAAAUCCGGUUAUCCCGAAUUUGUUCCGACAGAAAUCAAUAAGGAAAAAUGUUUUUCCGGAUGAAUGGAAAGGGAAUAUUUGCUAGCUCUUGUGCUUGUACUACACACACAAUUUUAUUUCUGGCCUUAAAAAUUGAUUAAAUUUAAAUCAUUUUGAGAUUUAAACUUUUCAAUAAGCCAUUUAAUGCAUGAAACACAAAAUCAUAAAAUCAUAAAUUUACAAGCAUAUCAAGUUAUCUAAUUCAUGAAGCAUAAAUCCAUGUGAUAACAAACAUAUCAAGCCAUGUAGAAAAACAUGAAUUAAGAUUCAACAUUCAUCAUUCCAAGCUCAUGUCUUAUCUUUAUAAAAUGCUCUUCGCUAAGAGGUUUUGUAAAGAUAUCCGCAAGUUGAUUUUCAGUGGAAACAAAUUUAAUUAUGACAUCUCCUUUUUUAACAUGAUCUCUAAGGAAAUGAUGUCUAAUUUCUAUAUGCUUAGUCCUAGAAUGUUGAAUAGGAUUCUUAGAAAGAUUUAUAGCACUAGUAUUGUCACAUAAGAUAGGAAUUUGAUCAAGCUUAAUACCAUAGUCUCUAAGGGUUUGUUUCAUCCAUAGAAUUUGUGCACAACAACCACCUGAGGCAAUAUAUUCUGCCUCGGUGGUUGAAAGCGCAACCGAGUUUUGUUUCUUACUAAACCAAGAGACAAGAGAAUAGCCUAGGAAGUGACAUGUUCCACUAGUACUCUUUCUAUCAACCUUAUACCAAGCAAAAUCGGCAUCCGAAUAACAAGUUAAAUUAAUAUGAGUUCCUCUAGGAUACCAAAGGCCAAGAUUAAUAGUGCCAAUUAAAUAUCAAAAAAUGUGUUUGACAGCUAGCAUGUGAGACUCUUUAGGACAAGAUUGAAAUCUAGCACACAAGCAAACACUAAACAUAAUAUCAGGCCUACUAGCAGUCAAGUAGAGUAAGGAUCCAAUCAUACCUCGAUAUGUCUUGAUAUCAACUUCCUUACCUUUCUCAUCUUUGUCCAGCUUGAUGGUAGUACUCAUAGGAGUGCUUUUUGCCGUUCCAUUAUCAUAGCCAAAUCUUUUGAGUAGAUCUUUCACGUACUUGGCUUGGUUUAUGAAAAUUCCUUCCUCGUUUUGUUUAAUUUGAAGUCCAAGGAAGUACUUCAACUCUCCCAUCGUACUCAUCUCAAACUCUUGGCUCAUACAUGAUGAAAAAUCUUUACACAACAACUCAUUAGUAGAACAAAAAAUAAUAUCAUCAACAUAAAUUUGAACAAUAAGUAUGUCUUGGUUCUUAUGCUUAAUAAAAAGAGUUGUGUCCGCUUUUCCCAUUGAAAAAUCAUUAUCCAACAAGAAAUUUUUAAGCCUAUCAUACCAAGCUCUAGGUGCUUGUUUUAAACCAUACAAAGCCUUGGAUAACUUAUACACAUGAUCUGGAAAUUUUUCAUUUUCAAAACCAGGAGGUUGUUGUUGAGUGUUAGAAAAUGCAUAUUUAUAAAGGAGAAAACCGUCAUUUUACAUUUCAAAUCUUACUAACAACCCUUACUUUUAUGUAUUUAACCUUCUUGUGAUUUAAUUACAUGUGUUUUAUUUUAAUUAAGUAUUUUAUGUAUUUUAGGGGCAUCAUAGUCAUUUCACAAUAAACGAGAAAUCAGAUGGCAAAACGGACAUCACUUUUGAACUCAGGACGGUCGAAAACCUUAGGAGGAGCAUAAAAGGAAAAAUGGCACUGUUCACAUGUACGGUACUAUUCACGUGUACGGUACUGUUCACGACACUGUUCACAUAGACGGACCGAUGACGUGGCAUUGACUGAUGAGGUGUCACGAUCCUGUUGGACUAAAAUUCUUAUAUACUGUUGAUGGUGACGUGGCAGCAUAUCAGUGGACGAAAAAUCUCGCAUACGGUGCAUGCAUCACACAGGAUUAUUUUCAACCAAACCGCAUUACUGUUCAUCCGGGUCAAACCGCGUUACUGUUCAAAGUCGGGUCAAACCGUGUUACUGUUCAUCCGCGUGGUCCAACUGUGGACUGUUGACUGAUGACGUGGCGCAAUCCUGAACGUCCAAACUGUUUUUAAUCCGAUGGCCAUGAUUUACUCCAUGUAUCUAUAAAAAGGGGGCCUCUCCCCCCUAAUUUGAUAUCUCUGAAUCCAUUUUUGGACUCUGUUUUCUGUAAUUCCUUCUCCAUCUUGUAUUUUCUUUGUAUUUUAAUAAAUUUUCAUUUUGCCCCUAGUUCAAUUAUGAGUGGCUAAUUUUCUUUCAAGCUUGGGUUGAAGGUGAAGUCUCAACAUGUGUCAUGGGCUUAAUUUGAUAAAUUUAUUUUCUCUUCCCCUCUAGUUUUUGUGGAUGUUUUGACUUCUCGUAGACAAAUAAUACUAAUCUUGUCUAGUACCGCCUUGGUUUCACCGGUCCUCUAGUACAAGGUUAUUAUUAUUUGGCACGAUAAGCCCUUAGCACCAUAUUGAUUAGAGUGUGGUUCCUGAGGUGUGGAUUCCCCCCUCAUGAUUUAAUUGGCAUUAAUACGGAUUAUUUAGCCCAUGAUGCAUGUUGAUACGGAUCCAGAUACCCAAGUACGUCAAUUUAAUAGAUUUUCUCUUCAAUUUAUUCUCUCAAUUGCAAUUCCAAUUUUAGAAUUUAUUCUCGCCAUUUUAAUUUAAUUAUUAGUAUAUUCCAAAUCAUUUCCACCAUAAAUCCAACUACCCAUUUACAAAAUUAAUUCUAUAUAUAAUUAAAAUCCACCUCCUCGUGGGAUCGACACUCGUCACCAUUAGUCUAUACUACAACAGAUUCGUGCGCUUGCGAGUACAUUAAAAUUUGCACAACAGUUGUUUCACAUAAACUUCCUCCAUAAUAUAUCCAUUUAAGAAAGCACUCUUGACAUUCAUUUGAUAUAAAAUAAAAUCAUUAUGACAUGCAUAUGCUAACAACAUCCUAAUGGAUUCUAACCUUGCUACAGGUGCAAAAGUUUCAUCAAAAUCAAUUCCUUCUUCUUGGUUGUAACCUUGAGCCACUAAUCUAGCUUUAUUUCUUACAACCACACCGGAUUCAUCCAUUUUGUUUCUAAAUACCCAUUUAGUACCUAUAAUGGAUUGAUGUUCCGGAUUAGGAACUAACUCCCACACAUUGUUUCUUUCAAAUUGAUUCAACUCCUCUUGCAUUGCCAUAAUCCAAGAUUCAUCAUGUUCCACAUCCGCAAAGGAUUUUGGUUCAAUUUGAGAAAUAAAUGCAGCAUGCUUACAUGUGUUCCUAAGAGAUGAUCUAGUGGUAACACCUCAUGAGGGAUCUCCUAAAAUUACAUCCUUAGGGUGAGAGGAUACAUACUUCCACUCCUUGGGGAGUGUUUUGUUAGCCUAAAGGGCUACACAUAAUGUAAUUUUGAUGAUAACAAACAUGUGUCUUAAGUAAAAAUAAUAAAUAUUGUAUUUCACAUUUACACUAGUUUUUGAAGGAUAAUAUUUAUGCUAGUGAAUCAAGUGAAAUCAAGAUUGAAGACACUCAACGGACAACGGCGAAAUCAAGAAUAAAGCUUAGAGCUCAACGGACGAAUUAUUGCGACAAAUUCUUGUAAAGCCGGUAUGAUUUAAUUGAUGCAUGAUUUAGCAUUUGAGAAGCUCAAGAGAUUAAUUUAAUUAAAUACUUUUCAUAAACUAAAAUAUUUUAUUUUUAUAAAGUAAAGUAUUUUGUGGAUUUGAGUAAAUUGGACUUAAAUGCUAAGAUUUGAAAUCUUUGAUUUUAAUAAGUAUCAAAUUUCGGAGUUGGAUGUUUUUACAAACAUUUUAAAUAUUUUGGGCCAUACUAUAAUUUAUGAAUAUUUUGAACUAAAGUGAAAGAUUUUGAGAACUUUGAAAAAUAUGGGUAUUAUGUUGAAAAGGACCUUUGUGCGAAACAAUAAAAUCGUUGGGGCCAUAUCAUAAUUUUAAAAAGUUUGGGAAAGACAACUAUUUUUGAGAAGUUCUGAAAUUGGAUCUAUUUGCAAAGUUUUCUGACGUUUUGGGCCAUAAUAUAAUUAUAGAAAGUUUUGGGCCAAAGUGUAAUUUCAAUGAACAGUGUUACUGUAGCAAAUUCAAAAAAUAACGGUAAUAUUACUAUUCCUGAGCGGCUAGCCGGAUAAAUCAAGCGGCUAACCGCUUGAGCGCUGGAAUUUGCCUAUAACGGCUAGUUUUUGGGCUUCCACUAUAAAAACUCAACUCAAACUUCUUUUUAAGAACCAAUACAAGCAAAUAUAAGAUCAUAUAACAUAUAUUGAGCUUCCAUUUCGUAAAUCAUCAUUUGUUGAAUCAUCAUUGAGCUAUAAUUUGUUAUUCACUCUUAAAGAGAGUUUUAUUGUUGUGAAUUUCAUUUCUCAUCAAUUUGUGAGUGUACAAGUGUGGAAAACACUUGGGGUGAAGAGAUUGGGGAUAUAAUCUCUUGUUGUAAAGGUUCAUUGACACCUUGGAAGUCAAUUGUAAACAUUUGAAGCCUUGGGAGGCUUGGAUAGUGAAAUCCUCAAGCCGGGUGAGCUUGGAGGCGUGGACGUAGGCGGGGAUAGCCGAACCACGUAAAAAUCCUUGUGUUCGUUUUCUCUUCCCUUACUCUUUUAAUAUGUACUUGAUUGAAUUUAUUGUUUUUGAUUUGAUUAAGGCGGUAGAUUAAAUUGUUGUGCGAAUUGUAUUGCAUAAAAUUUAAAAUCCCAAUUCACCCCCCCUCUUGGGUUGCAUAACUUGCAUUUCAUUUGGUAUCAGAGCAAGGUGCUCUUGUGUAGACUUAAUCGUCUAGAGUUAAAGAUCCAUGGCAACCCAUAGUGACUCAACCUUUAGGGAAGGACAAUCUACAAUUAGACCACCGUUCUUUGACGGUAAUGACUACCCAUAUUGGAAAACUAGGAUGAGAAUUUAUUUACAAGCUUUAGAUUAUGAAAUUUGGGAAAUUGUUUGUGAUGGUCCGUUUAUGCCUUUGAUUAAAAACGAAGUUGGGGAAGAUAUUCCAAAACCUUCAAGGGAAUGGAAUGAAUUGGAAAAGAGAAAAGCUUCUCUAAACUCCAAAGCUAUGAAUGCCUUGUUUUGUGCACUAGAUAAGAAAGAGUUUCAUAGAGUAUCUAGUUGUGAAAGUGCUAAUGAAAUUUGGCACAAACUUGAAGUUGUUUAUGAAGGCACGAAUCAAGUGAAAGAGUCUAAAAUUAGUAGGUACACUCGACAAUAUGAAUUGUUUCAAAUGGAACAAAAUGAGAGUGUGUAUUCUAUGUAUACUAGAUUUACGGACAUAGUGAACACUCUAGGAGCCCUAGGAAAAACAUUUUCAAAUAGUGAGAAAGUUAAGAAAAUCAUUAGGUCGUUACCUAAGGAAUGGAGAUCAAAAAGGACUGCCAUUGAGGAAGCCAAAGAUUUAAAUAUUUUAUCUAUUGACGAUUUAAUUGGUUCUCUUAUUUCUUAUGAGGAAGAUUUGGCAGCCGAAAGAGGCAAUGGGGAGAAGAAGAAAAGCAUUGCUCUCAAAGCCAUGAAACAUGAAAGUGAUGAGGAAAGCGAGCUGGAUGAGGAGGAGAUGGAUAUGCUGACUAGGAGGCUUAGAAAACUUUUUAAGAAAUCCGGUGAGCGAAGAAAAUCUAGAGACCUCAAGAACCGAAAGGAGAAGAAGGAAGUAAUCAAAUGUUAUGAGUGCAAGAAGCCCGGUCAUAUAAGAACGGAAUGCCCUCUUCUCAAUAAGCUCAAGAAGAGAGCAAUGGUAGCCACAUGGGAUGAUAGCGAUGAGGAAACAAGUGAUGGUGAAGAACAUCAAGAAAUGACAAAUCUAGCUCUCAUGGGAAUUGGAGAUGAAUCGGAUGAUGAACUUGAUGAGGUAAAUGAUCUUUCUACUUAUGAUGAAUUAUAUGAUGCUUUUAAAGAAUUGCAUGAUAAUUGGAUAAAAAUUGGUAGAAAGAAUGUAUGUCUUAAAAAGAAAAUGGUAAAGCUCACAAAUGAGAAUGAAUCUCUAAGUGCAAAGAUUACAUGCCUAGAAUUAGAGAAUAAAACAUUGUAUGAUAAAGUUGCAUUAUCGAAUGAGAAACCUAGCACUUCACAUGAGCAUCUAGAAUCAUAUGUAGAUGACUUGAAAAAUGAAAAUGAUGCUUUACAGAAAUGCAAUGAUUCAUUAAAUGAAAAGAUUAAAGGACUAGAGUUGGAUAAUAAAAUGUUGCAUGAUAGAAUUGCAUCAUUUAAAUGCAAGCAAAGUACUUCAUAUGAGCAUGAGAAAUCACAUGUUGGUGAAUUAUUGAAAGAAAAUGAAGUGCUUAAGAAAAAGAGCAAUGAACUAAAUCAAAUUGUGUUAAAAUUCACAAAUGGGCAAAAGAUGUUGGAUAACUUGCUUAAUUCACAAAAAUGUGUGUUUGAUAAAGGAGGUAUCGGUUAUAAGCCAAAUUUGAAACAAAAAUAUUAUAAGAGUUAUUUUGUUAAAACUACCUCCAUUAAUGAUCAAAUUGUAUGUCAUUAUUGCAAUCAAAAUGGUCAUAUGAAGAAUAGAUGUUCUAUUAAAAGAAAUGUGUAUUAUGGAGCAAAAUGUAUUUGGGUUCCAAAAGGAAUCAUUGCUAACACUCAAGGACUCAAGAGUAUUUGGGUACCAAAAUACACAACUUGAACAAUUUUUUGUAGGUACCACAAUCAAGGAAUGGUGGAGAAGUUCCUUGAUGAAAGCUUGUGAGGAUAAUCAUUUGAGCAUGAUUUAGGAGAGAAAGAUGAGGCAAGAUGAUUUAAUUGUUUUGGUAAUAAUUCUUGCCAUAUUAAUUUUGUUGAAUGAAUUAUGAUAAAUGAAUUUGCGAAAAUAUGCUUGUAUGUUUACAUGAUUGAAUUAUCAUUGUGUUUAACAUUGAGUGUUUUAUCAUGAUGCAAGGUUAUAUAUAAAUGAUGAUAGUUUAUCAACUUAUCAUGAUGGAUUCGUUUGAUGUUAAUGUUUAUGAAGUGUUUAAGCAUGAUAGUUAAGUGGUCUGUUUGAUUUAUUAACUUUUGAAUGCUUAUAUGUUUAAUUAUUGUGAAAAUCCUAAGUUUGCACAAUCUGUAAUGAAUUGGUCAUAACUCCUUCUAGAAAACUCCAAAUCCAGUUCUGUAAAAUUUAUUGGAAAGCUAACUUAAUUAUCUUUCCAACGGUAUAUAGCUUGCAUGUUAAUUCUGGCUCAAUCAAUACAGUUUUUAUUUCGAAGUUGACCUUUCUGCAUUUUCUUAAGUUUUGAAUGCUUAGAUGCUUCAUGAUUGUAUGCUUGUUGGAUGGAUUAUUUGUUUGAAUUAAUUAUCUUUUGGAUGUUUAAAAUCAUGAAUCAUGCAUUAAAUUGGCUCUUGAGAUGUUUCGGGAUCACAAAAUGAUCACGGAAUUGAUUGAAACAAGCCAAAAAGCAAGUAGAGUGCAGGUGGACAGCAACCAGGCGGCUAGCCGCUUGGUCCAAGCGGCUAACCGCUUGGAAAUGUCCCCCAACCCGAGAGCAAGCGGCUAGCCGCUUGCCCCCAAGCGGCUAGCCGCUUGGUCACGGGUUUGGAUGAUUUUGUUUUGCUUCUUCUUCCUCUUUCGUGAGUUUUCUGCACAUGCUUUCUCUCUCACUCAAAACCGUGAGCAACCCAUCCAUUUUCACCUCCAUUUUCUUUUUUNNNNNNNNNNNNNNNNNNNNNNNNNNNNNNNNNNNNNNNNNNNNNNNNNNNNNNNNNNNNNNNNNNNNNNNNNNNNNNNNNNNNNNNNNNNNNNNNNNNNNNNNNNNNNNNNNNNNNNNNNNNNNNNNNNNNNNNNNNNNNNNNNNNNNNNNNNNNNNNNNNNNNNNNNNNNNNNNNNNNNNNNNNNNNNNNNNNNNNNNNNNNNNNNNNNNNNNNNNNNNNNNNNNNNNNNNNNNNNNNNNNNNNNNNNNNNNNNNNNCAUCAUCUCUCCACAUAAAACCCAAAAAUCAAAAAUUCUCACUCUACCCGUUUCUCUCUCUUCAUUUUUCAAGCAUCCUUUAGCUCUUUUUUAAUCAUAAACUAGCUUCAUUCAUCUCUAGGAUUGAUUCUCUUGCCUCAAACAAAUCCGUUUUACUUAAACUUUGUUAAAACCCGAAAUUGCUUUUUUAAGCUCUUUUUUCUUCCAACAAUGGCGGGUGGUGACAAAUCCAAGGGGAAACACGUGGCCAAGAAGCGUAAGGAUGAUCAUGGAGAUUAUUCGGACUUUAUGUUGAUUCAUUUUCCUCGACUCCAACUUCGGAAAAUUUUUCUCGACCAUUUCAAACCAAGGACGGUAAUUACUCCUCAUUUUGUCAAUCUCAAUAAUAUGAAGAAUUUAGAAAUUUGUGAUAAUUCUCUUAAAGAUUUACUUAUUGCUAUGGGAUGGAAGAAUGUGUUGGUCGUUAAUGAUCCUUACUAUGAAAAUUUAGUCAAGGUUUUCUAUUCGAAUAUGGAUACGGAUGUGUCAAAUAGAAUUGUUACUAAUGUUGGGAGAAUUCACAUUGAAUUUGAUGUUGCUUUGCUAAAUUCUAUCCUUGGCACUCCAAAUGAGGGAUUGGAAAUAUAUAGUGCUAGAGCCAAAAUCAAACAACCUUGGUUUUUUUCUUGAACAUGCCGUUCGAAAAAUUUGUCGACGGCGUGAUUUGUCCACUGCAUUUUGUAACUCACCUUUGAAAUCUCAAGCCUUACCUCUUCAAACUCGAAUCCUUCAUUAUGUUCUCCAUCAUGUGAUUACUCCUAGGGGGGGUCAUGCGGAUGAAGUUAGUCGUUUAGAUGUAGCCAUUUUGGACUGCAUUCUAGAGGAGAGGGUGCUCAAUAUUGGGUAUAUUAUUCUUAAUCAUAUGCUUAGUACUCCCAAUUUAGCCAAAAGAUCCCUUCCAUAUGCUAGUAUUAUUACUCGAAUUCUAGAGUAUUUCCAUGUCCCUAUAACCGAGUCAAUCUCCUUGAAUUCGAGGGAAUUAGGCGAUGAGUCAAUCGCUAAUCUGGGUUUUUAUUGGAGGGAUGAUAGCUGGCAUAAAGAUCAAAGAACCAAAAAGGUUACGGAACUUGCUCCUUCAGAUCAUCGUUUCUUUAACGAUGUCCGUCCCCCACACUUGCUUCGUGAUCUUAGUGCUCCAUAUCUCUCACAUCCUCCACCUUCCGAGGGUCCUUCUCACUCUACUUCUGACUCUGAGGAUCCGUUGCAGCAGCUGUUAACUAAAGUGGAUUCACUUUCUGAGAGGCAAGACCAACUCCAGUCUAUGCUUGAAGCUUUUCAACUUCAGUCCAUUUCCGAGCGAGAGAGUCUCUUUGCUCAACAGCAGCAGCUUCUUGAUGGCCAGCAGCAACUUUUUGUAGCCCUUGGAUUUCCACCCCCAUCCUCUUCCUCACAUCCACCAUCUCCUUAGUACUUUAUUUUAUUUUGUUAUUUGUCACUCUGCACUACAUUUAUUCAUGCAUUGUUGUUUUUUCAUUUGCGGAUGAUAUCUUGUUAUUUGAUCUUCGGAAAUGCUAUAUUUGGAUGAUGUUUUAUGCUUAAUUCUUAUGUGUUGCUUGAUGACUUGGUGGAGUUGUUGGUUUGUUAGACUUAAGCUUAUAUGGAAGUGUUUUUAAUUACAUUGUGUAUUUUGAAGAUUUGUUCAUUUUUAAGGGGAGACUCUGCCGAAAUUUUUGCUCGCACACAAUUGGUAAUAUCUUUCUUGAAUCAUUUUUGAUGAUCUUGUUUUCAAUUGCAUGUUUCUAUUUUUUUUAAGAGGGUAAUAAACUUGAUGAGUUUUUUUUUUUAUAAUGAUAUUUUGGUUAAAUAUUUUCGGUCUUAGCAUGAAUUACUAGUAAUUUUGAUGAUGAAGGGGGAGAAGUCAUGUAUUUUGAAUAUGAAGACAUGUAAUACAUAUUUUUUUUGUAUUUCAAGCAUUUAUGCAUGUUUUUGAAAUAUUAAGGGGGAGCUUUCAAAUUAUCAUAAAUCAAAUAUUCAGGGGGAGUUUUUUGAUUUAUGUGUUUAAUCAUGUAUGCCAUGUAUUAAGGGGGAGUUUAAUAUCAAAAUACAUGAGAUGUUUGUCAUCAUCAAAAAGGGGGAGAUUGUUAGCCUAAAGGGCUACACAUAAUGUAAUUUUGAUGAUAACAAACAUGUGUCUUAAGUAAAAAUAAUAAAUAUUGUAUUUCACAUUUACACUAGUUUUUGAAGGAUAAUAUUUAUGCUAGUGAAUCAAGUGAAAUCAAGAUUGAAGACACUCAACGGACAACGGCGAAAUCAAGAAUAAAGCUUAGAGCUCAACGGACGAAUUAUUGCGACAAAUUCUUGUAAAGCCGGUAUGAUUUAAUUGAUGCAUGAUUUAGCAUUUGAGAAGCUCAAGAGAUUAAUUUAAUUAAAUACUUUUCAUAAACUAAAAUAUUUUAUUUUUAUAAAGUAAAGUAUUUUGUGGAUUUGAGUAAAUUGGACUUAAAUGCUAAGAUUUGAAAUCUUUGAUUUUAGUAAGUAUCAAAUUUCGGAGUUGGAUGUUUUUACAAACAUUUUAAAUAUUUUGGGCCAUACUAUAAUUUAUGAAUAUUUUGAACUAAAGUGAAAGAUUUUGAGAACUUUGAAAAAUAUGGGUAUUAUGUUGAAAAGGACCUUUGUGCGAAACAAUAAAAUCGUUGGGGCCAUAUCAUAAUUUUAAAAAGUUUGGGAAAGACAACUAUUUUUGAGAAGUUCUGAAAUUGGAUCUAUUUGCAAAGUUUUCUGACGUUUUGGGCCAUAAUAUAAUUAUAGAAAGUUUUGGGCCAAAGUGUAAUUUCAAUGAACAGUGUUACUGUAGCAAAUUCAAAAAAUAACGGUAAUAUUACUAUUCCUGAGCGGCUAGCCGGAUAAAUCAAGCGGCUAACCGCUUGAGCGCUGGAAUUUGCCUAUAACGGCUAGUUUUUGGGCUUCCACUAUAAAAACUCAACUCAAACUUCUUUUUAAGAACCAAUACAAGCAAAUAUAAGAUCAUAUAACAUAUAUUGAGCUUCCAUUUCGUAAAUCAUCAUUUGUUGAAUCAUCAUUGAGCUAUAAUUUGUUAUUCACUCUUAAAGAGAGUUUUAUUGUUGUGAAUUUCAUUUCUCAUCAAUUUGUGAGUGUACAAGUGUGGAAAACACUUGGGGUGAAGAGAUUGGGGAUAUAAUCUCUUGUUGUAAAGGUUCAUUGACACCUUGGAAGUCAAUUGUAAACAUUUGAAGCCUUGGGAGGCUUGGAUAGUGAAAUCCUCAAGCCGGGUGAGCUUAGAGGCGUGGACGUAGGCGGGGAUAGCCGAACCACGUAAAAAUCCUUGUGUUCGUUUUCUCUUCCCUUACUCUUUUAAUAUUGUACUUGAUUGAAUUUAUUGUUUUUGAUUUGAUUAAGGCGGUAGAUUAAAUUGUUGUGCGAAUUGUAUUGCAUAAAAUUUAAAAUCCCAAUUCACCCCCCCUCUUGGGUUGCAUAACUUGCAUUUCAUGUUUGUGAAGUACCUUCAUUUUGCUCUGCAUUUGUUUCUUCAUGAUGUUCUUCUUGAAUUCCAUGUGGCGCGUCUUCUUGGUUGUCAUUCGAUGCUUCUUCUUGUUGUUCUUCUUCUACAUUAUCAUCAACAACAACUUUCUCCGUAGAGGAGGGGUUAGACUCAUCAAAUGUAACAUGCAUAGAUUCUUCCACAACUAAAGUUCUUUUAUUAUAAACUCUAUAAGCUUUGCUUGAAUUUGAAUAACCAAGAAAAAUGCCAACAUCAGAUUUUAGAUCAAAUUUACCAAGAUUAUCUUUUGUGUUCAAAACAAAAUAUUUGCAUCCAAAAACUUUAAAAUAGCCAAUGUUGGGUUUUCUAUAUUUCCAAAGCUCAUAUGGAGUUUUAUUAAGAUUAGGUCUAAUCAACACCCGAUUUAAAACAUAACAAGCGGUGUUGACGGCUUCGGCCCAAAAAUACUUAGGCAAAGAGUUUUCAUUCAACAUGGUUGUAGCCAUUUCUUGAAUAGACAUAUUCUUUCUUUCUACUACUCCAUUUUGUUGUGGAGUCCUAGGUGAUGAAAAUUGAUGUUCAAUGCCAAAGUCAUUACAAAAGUUCUCAAAUGCAUUACUCCAUUUUGUUGUGGAGUCCUAGGUGAUAAAAAUUGAUGUUCAAUGCCAAAGUCACUACAAAAGUUCUCAAAUGCAUGAUUUUCAAAUUCUCCACCAUGAUCACUUCUAAUACAAGUAAUAGAAUAACCUUUUUCAUUUUGAACCUUUUUAUAGAAAAUUUGAAAUGCAUCAAUGGCAUCAUCCUUAUUAGCUAAGAACAAUACCCAUGUGUAUCUAAAAUAAUCAUCCACAACUACAAAUGCAUAAAAUUUACCACUUAAACUAGCAUAUCUAGAAGGUCUAAAUAAAUCUAUAUGAAGCAAUUGAAGUGGUUUUGAAGUGGAGACAUGAUUCUUGCUUUUGAAUGAAGUUUUGAUUUGUUUUCCAAAUUGGCAUGCUUCACAAGUUCUAUCUUUUUGAAAAUUGAUUUUUGGAAGACCUUUUACUAAAUCAUUUUUCACAAUUUUUGAAAUCAAAUCCAUGCUUGCAUGACCUAAUCUUCUAUGCCACAACCAACCAUCAUCAUGUAAUGCGGAGAGGCAUUUCUCAUUUGUUGAUGCACAAUCUAUAUUAAUGGUAUAGACAUUAACAUAUCUAUUUCGUACAAACAAGACUUUCCCAUCACAUGCAUUCUCAAUAACACAUUUUGAUUCAUCAAAGAUAACUCUAUAUCCUUUAUCACAUAAUUGACUAAUACUAAGUAAAUUGUGUUUCAAGUUUUCAACCAAGCACACAUUUUCAAUGAGAGUAGAGGAUACAUUACCGACAUUUCCAAUUCCAAUGAUUUUUCCUUUUGAAUUAUCCCCAAACAAUACAUCUCCACCAUUUUCGAUCUUGGUAAAGCUUGAAAACCAAGAAUAAUUCCAUGUCAUGUGUCUUAAACAACCGCUGUCCAAGUACCAUUUAUUCUUCUUCUUCUUUGAGCCAUGUAGAAAAAAUCUCAAGUUUUAGGUACCCAAACCUUUUUAGGUCCUUGAGAGUUAGCAAUGGUUCCUUUCGGAACCCAAACACAUUUCACACCAUAAUAUGCAUUUCUCUUCACUGCACAUCUAUUUUUCAUAUGACCAUCUUGAUUGCAAUAAUGACAUACAAUUUUAUUGUUAAUAGAUGUAUUCUUAAAAAAUAACUCUUGUAAAAUUUUUGUUUCAAAUUCGGUUUAUAACCUAUGCCACUUUUGUCAAAUACACAUUUUUGUGAGUUUAGCAAAUUGUCCAACAUAUUUUGCCCAUUUGUGAAUUUUAGCACAAUUUCAUUUAGUUCAUUGUUCUUUUUAAGCAUUUCAUUCUCAUUUUUCAAGUCAUUCAUUUGUGACUCUAAGUGCUCAUGUGAAGUGCUAGAAUUCUCAAAUGAUGCAAUACUCUCAUGCAAUGUUUUAUUUUCUAAUUCUAGGCAUGUAAUCUUUACACUAAAUGAAUCAUUUUCAUUCUUAAGCUCUAUCAUCUUCUUUUUAAGACAUAUAUUCUUUUUACCAAUCUUCAUUAGCUCAUCAUGCAAAUCGUUAAAAGCAUCUUGCAAUUCAUCAUAUGUAGGAAGAACACUUACCUCAUCAAGUUCAUCACAUGAUUCUUCCCCAACGGCCAUGAGAGCUAAGUUUGUCAUUUCUUGUUGGUCAUCCUCAUCACUUGUUUCCUCAUCGCUAUCAUCCCAUGUGGCCACCAUAGCUUUCUUCUUGAGUUUGUUGAGAAGAGCACAUUCCGGUCGUAUGUGUCUGGGCUUCUUGCAUUCAUAGCAAGUGAUUGGCUCAUUCUUCUCCUUCUUAUUGUUGUAGCCUCUGAACUUUCUCUGCUCAUUAUUCUUCUUGUAAAAUUUUCUGAAUCUUCUAGCCAACAUAGCCAACUCCUCAUCAUCCAUUUCGCUUUCCUCAUCACUCUCAUGUUUUGAAGCCUUGAGAGCAAUGUUUUUCUUCUUUUCCUCAUGCCCUUUUUCAGCUGCUAAAUCUUCUUCAUAUGAAAUGAGAGAACCAAUUAAAUCAUCAAUAGGUAAAACAUUUAAAUCUUUGGCUUCCUCAAUGGCAGUCCUUUUUGGUCUUCAUUCCUUAGGUAAUGACCUAAUGAUUUUCUUGACUUUCUCGCUAUUUGAAAAAGUUUUCCCCAGGGCUCCUAGAGUGUUCACUAUGUCUGUAAAUCUAGUAUACAUAGAGUACACAUUUUCAUUUUGUUCCAUUUGGAACAAUUCAUAUUGUCGAGUGUACCUACUUAUUUUAGAUUCUUUCACUUGGUUCGUGCCUUCAUAGACAACUUCAAGUUUGUGCUAAAUCUCAUUAGCACUUUCGCAACUAGACACUCUAUGAAACUCUUUCUUAUCUAAAGCACAAAACAAGGCAUUCAUGGCCUUGGAAUUUAGAGAAGCUUUUCUCUUUUCGAAUUCAUUCCAAUCCCGUGAAGGUUUUGGAAUAUCUUCUCCGACUUCAUUUUUAGUCAAAGCCAUGAAAGGACCAUCAUUAACGAUUUCCCAAAUUUCAUAAUCCAAGGCUUGCAAGUAAAUUCUCAUCCUAGUUUUCCAAUAUAGGUAAUCGUUUCCAUCAAAGUAAGGUGGUCUAGUGGUGGACUGUCCUUCCCUAAAUGUGGAAUCAUUUUGAGUUGCCAUUGAUCUUUAGCUCUAGACAGUUAAGUCUAAAUAAGAGCACCUAGCUCUGAUACCAAAUGAAAUAUGAGUGUGCAACCCAAGAGGGGGGUGAAUUGGAAUUUUAAAAUUUAUCCUAGCAAAUCCACACAACAAGCAAUCUAAUGUCUUAAUAAAAAUUGAAAGCAAUAAGUUCAAUAAAAGCACAAUAAUUAAAGAGUAAGAGAGAAGAGAAAUAAACACACGAAUUUUUACGUGGUUCGGCAAUCCCCGCCCACGUCCACGCCUCCAAGCGAUCCAAGCUUAAGGAUUUCACUAUCCAAGCCUUUCCAAGGCUUCAACGAUUACAAUUGACUUCGAGGUGUCAAUAAACCUUUACAAUAAAGAGAUUAUCUCCCAAUCUCUUCACUCAAGUGUCUCACACACUCAAACUCUUACAAUUGAGAUGAAUAAAUGAAGGUUACAAUGAAACUCACUCAAUGAGUAGAUAUUCAAAAAUGAAGAACAAGAAAAGAUUCAAUGUUUGUAUUUCGCAAGUUUAAAUGCUCAAGAUAUCACGUGUACUUUUUAUUUUUGCUUGUUGGAGAACUUCAAAAUGAGUUGGAUUUGAGUUCUUAUAGUUUGAGCUCAUAAACUAGCCGUUACUCACAUUCUAGGCGUAUCCAGUUUGCCAUUUAUGGAAUUCGGUAAGCCGGAUUUAUGUUACCGUUUAGGCAAAAAUUUGAAUUUUGCCUAUCCGGCUUGCCGGUUUCGAAAUCCGGUAAGCCGUUUGCGUUCUGGAUGCAUUCUGCCCCGUAUCCAGUUUUCUGGAUUUUAUAUCCGGUAAGCCGGAUGCUACAGUAACCUGCUACAGUGAAAUUUUUCCUAAAUUUUUAGUUUGACCUCAAAACUUUAUAAAAUUAUAGUAUGACCCAAAACGUUAUGAAACUUUGCAAAUAGGUCCAAUUUCAAAAUUUCUAAGUAAUGCUUCGUUAAUCCCAAAACUUUUUGAAAUUAUGAUUUCACCCAAACUUUGUGAAAUUAUAGAAUGACCCAAAAACAUUUAACUAGUUUCAAAUAGGUCUAAAUCUGAAAUUUAAAAUACUAUCAAGGAUUUUAAAAAUACUUUCAUUUUAGUCCAAAAUGUUUUAAUUCCAUAACAUCAUUUUCUUAUUAUAAAAGCACAAUUCAUAAAUCUUUGCUUAAUAAAUACAUGUGGUUUGUUAUCUUCAAAAUCAAUAUUUAUAGCCAUAUAGGCUAACAGUGAGGGCUUCUAGAAUUCAUGGUACUAUAGUAAUCCUUGAAUAUUUUUGCAUUCUAGACUUAAUUAGCUUUCAUUUAAAAGUAGUUUCAUCUCAAUAUCAUUUUUGUAGAAUUUGAUGUAUUUUUUUGAAUUUGACCCUAUAUUUUAAAAACACUGACAAAGAACUUACUGACAGACCUGGAAACAAUGAAUAAAUUGUAUUGAUCGGUUAUAUUUUAGAGUGAUUCUUGAAUAUUUUUGCAUUAUAGACUUAAUUAGCUUUCAUUUAAAGGUGUUUUCAUGUCAAUAUCAUUUUUGUAGAAUUUGUUGUGAGUUUUUUAAUUUGACCUUGUAUUUUAAGAACACUGACAAAGAACUUAUUGACAGACCUGGAAACAAUGAAUAAACUGUAUUGAUCAGUUAAAUUCUAGAGUGAUUCUUGAAUAUUUUUACAUUCUAGACUUAAGUAACUUUCAUUUAAAAGUAGUUUCAUGUCAAUAUCUGUUUUGUAGAAUUAUUUAUGAUUUUUUAAAAUUGACCCUGUAUUUCAAGAACAUUGGGGAAUUACCAUGUGUGCCCCAGAGGUAAAUACUUAAUUUUGUUUUUGUGAGAAUUAUGAUCAACCAGACCUAAUUCUUUCCCCAAGAAAAAUCUCCACACACUGAUCUUAUUGAAACAAGAACGAAUUCCCAAGAUAACAAUCAGAAAUAAAGCAAGAGUGUUUAAACAGAAAACCAAGAAUAAGAGAAUGAAAAGAAUUGACACAGAGAGUUACGGAGGUUCGGCUGAGUAGCCUACAUCCUCUUGAGAAAUAGAAGCGAUAGCUUUUCUUUGAUACUCAAUAGUUUACAAGUGUCAGAGAAGUUGUUACAAAGGACGUUAUUCUCUAAGUUUGGCUCUAAAGGCCUUAUAUACAAUUCUGAAAGGAUCCAGAUAAAAAUGCUUCACGCCAGCUCUCAUUUCUGGGUUUGUUUCAACAAACCCAGAAAAGUUCUCGCCAAUACUAACUGUUGUUAACAACCCUUUAGCUUGAAAUGGCACUAGCAGCAGUCGUUUAACUAAAGAUUGAAUCUAUUGAUGCUCGUACAAGUCACGUGCAUUACUUAAGUUCUUUGUAUGACAAAGCAUUGUUGUCGUAUGAGUAGCAUCAUCUGUCUGAUUGCUUUGUCGUUUCAUAUUCAAUUCCUGAAAUGACAAAGUCAUCUUCUCCAGAAUUCUUAAUUCAGGUUCACAACUAACAAUUUCCACCUUGAACCUAAAUCAUAGCAUUCCUAUAGCUUCUUCUUCUCAGGUAUCUGUAUCUUCAGUUUCUACAGAUACCAGCUAAGUUUAAGCAAUGCUCAAACUUAGCCAUGGGAACUGGUUUUGUUAACAUAUCAGCAACAUUAUCACUGGUAUGAAUCUUCACAAGCUUCAUAGUGCCUUUUGAGACUUCCAACCUAAUGAAAUGGAGCUUAAUGUCAAUGUGCUUGGUCUUUUCAUGGUAGACUUGGUUUUUGCUCAGAUUGAUAGCACUUUGACUGUCACAUAGAACUGUUAUGGCUGAUUGCUCAUACCCCAGUUCAUUUAUCAUGCCCUUUAACCAUAUUGCUUCUUUGAAGGCCUCUGCAGCAGCUGUAUACUUUGCCUCUAUUGUAGAUAAAGCCACUACACUUUUGAGUGAGGCUUUCCAACUGAUUGUGCAGCUAUUAAGAGUGAAUAAAAAACCAUUAAGUGAUCUUCUAUUAUCCAGGUCUUCUGCAUAGUUAGAGUCAACAUAUCCUUCAACUAGGUUGUAGCUAGCUCUCUCCCCUUCAUACAAUAGGCCAUAGCUUGUAGUUCCCCUUAGAUACCUAAGUAUCCAUUUCACAGCCCUCCAAUGCUCCUUCCUUGGGUUAGACAUAAACCUGCCGACCAGGCUUACUGCAUAUGACAGAUCAGGUCUUGUUAAGACCAUGGCAUACAUUAGGUAACCCACUGAGUUGGCAUAUGGUGUUUUCAACAUUUCAGUUUGUUCUUAUUCAGUGCUUGGACAUUGCUGGCUUGAUAACCUGAAAUGAGCUGCCAUUGGUGUAGACACUGGUUUGCAGUUCAACAUUCCAAACUUCUCCAAGACUUUUUUGACAUAUUUUUCUUGAGACAUAAACAAGGUCCUGGUUGUUCUGUUCUUUACCAUUUCAACUCCCAAAAUCCUUUUAGUUGGGCCAAAAUCUUUCAUAUCAAACUUGUCCCUAAGUUGUUGCUUCAGCAGAUCAAUUAGCUUCAUGUUUUUACAGGCCAGUAGCAUGUCAUCAACAUAUAAGACCAGAUAGAUCACCUCCUCCCCAUGAGUUUUUCUGAAAUAAACACAGCAAUCAUAACUUGAUUUUUGGAAUUUCAGCUCCUGCAUGUAGCUGUCAAAUUUCAGAUACCACUACCUUAGGGACUGCUUCAACCCAUAAAGAGUUUUCUCAGCAAGCAAACCCAAUCAGGGUGUUUAGAGUCCACAAAACCCUCAGGCUGUGACAUUACAAUCUCCUCUUGUAGAUCACCAUGAAGGAAGACUGUUUUAACAUCUAAUUGUUUAAGACGCAUAUCAUAAACAGCCACCAGUGACAAGAUGAUCCUUAUUGAUGUGUGUCUGACUACUGGUGAGAAGACUUUAGUGUAAUCAAUCCCCUCACUUUGGGUGAAGCCCUUUGCUAUCAGUCUUGCUUUGAAUCUCUUGGGUUCAACAUCAUGGAUCCCAUCUUUUAUCUUGUAGAUCCAUUUACAGCCCACAACGUUUCUUCCCUCUGGUUUCUAAAUUAAUUUCCAGGUGCCAUUCUUGUUUAAAGAGUCCAUCUCAUCUUCCAUGGCCUUGAUCCAUUUUUCUGACUCUUUACGUGCAAUAGCUUCUUCAUAAGUUUUUUGCUCCUCUUGGUCAACUUCUUGUGCUGCUGAUAAGGCAUAUGCUAUUAAGUCAGCAUAUUCUAAUCUCUCUGGUGCCCUUACUUGUCUCUUCUAUCUAUCCUUUGUAAGUUGAUAAUCUUGUAAUGAAGUGUGCUCUGGUAAUUGAGCAUUGAUCCCAUAUGACCCUUGAUUUUCUCCAGUGUGACUUGUGUUCUAGACAUCCUCAGUCUUUGAUAGCUCCACCUCAAAGUGAGGUGUCUCUGCCCCUGGGAUUUUCUGAAUUGUGCAUUGUGCAGCAGUCUGACUUUUCAGCAUCUCAGACUCAUUGAAAAUUACAUCCCUGCUUAUUAUGCACUUAGGAGGCUUAAAAUCUACACACCAUAGCUUGUAACCCUUAGUCCCACUAGGAUAUCCUAAGAAGGCACAUUUUCAAUGCCCUUGGUUCAAGCUUGCUCUGCUUGAUAUGAGCAUAAACAGUGCAGCAAAAAAUUCUUAACUUGGUGUAGUCAGCUAACUUCCCUGACCAAAUUUCAUAGGGUGUUUUAAAUUCAAUUACAGUUGAGGGGCAUCUAUUUAUCAGGUAACAAGUUGUACUCAAGGCUUCAACCCACAAUGUUUUUGGCAACUUUGAAUGAAACAACAUGCAUCUAACUCUCUCCAUUAGUAUUCUGUUCAUUCUCUCUGCCAAACCAUUUUGUUGUGGUGUGUACCUUAUAGUUUUAUGCCUUUGGAUCACAUUCUUUUCAUACAAAUCAUCAAACUGUUUAUUACAAAACUCAAGACCAUUAUCAGUUCUAAUUCUUCUCACUUUCCUAUUGGUUUGAGUUUCAAUCAAAUUUUUCUAGGCCUUGAAUCUAUCAACAACCUGAUCUUUACUCCUUAAUGGAUACACCCAUACCAUCCUAGAAAAGUCAUCUAUCAUAGACAAAAAAUAACAACCUCCACCUAGAGAUUCAAUCUGUGAUAGCCCCCACAUAUCCAAGUGAAUAUAAUCCAAAGUACUCUUAGUAUUGUGCAUUGCAGUUUUGAACCUGGUUCUUGAGGAUUUUCCUAGGACACACUCCUCACAGAACCCAACAACAUUUAUCUUAUUACUCCCUAUAGCUCCUUGUUUUUCAAGUUCUUUCAGCCCCUUUUCACUCACAUGGCCCAACCUAAAAUGCCACAAUAAGGUCUUAUCUUGUUCCUGGUUUUCCACUACACCAGCAUCCCCAGAUAUAGCUAUACCUUGCAGUAUGUAUAAACCAUUCUGCAUCUCACCCUUCAUUAAUAUGAAAGAACCUUUAAUGACUUUUAAGGAGCUUAAUUCAAGUUUAAUGCUACACCCUGCCUUGUCUAACAUGCUAAGAGAAAUUAGAUUCCUCUUAAGCUCUGGAAUAUGUCUUACAUUAUCCAGCUCUCUAAUAAUACCAUCUGACAUUUUCAACCUUACAGAGCCAAUACCAGUAACCUUACAUAAAGCAUUAUUUCCCAUCAAGACUUUACCACCAUCAAAGCGUUGAUAGCUACUGAAUAAGUGUUUAUGAGGACACAUGUGAUACGUGUAGCCAGAAUCAAGAACCCAUUUACCUUCAUUUUGCAUGUUUAAAGCUACUAGAACUCCAGCAGAGUCAUAUUCCUUAUCUGAUUCUUUAGAAGCUACAACAGCAUUUCCAUUCCUGUUGUUGUUUUCCUUAGGCUUAUUUUUUCUCUCAGGGCAGUCCCUCUUGAAGUGGCCCUCCUUGUGGCAAUGAAAGCACUUCAAGGUCUUGUUCUUUUUCCCUUUACAACCCUCUCUUUUCUCUGAUCUUCCCCUUACUGUCAACCCCUCACCAUCUUUAAUUUAUGAUCUCAUGGUGCUCUCUUUGGAACUCAACGAAAUGUUCAUAGGAAGGUGGUAAUGAAGAUAACAGAAUAAUUGCUUUAUCCUCAUCUUCAAUCUUCACAUUAAUGUCUUCAAGAUCCAAAAUGAUCCUAUUGAAGGAAUCAAUGUGAGUAGUCAAAGAGCUGUCUUCUUCCAUUUGGAGUGUGUAGAGCAUUUUCUUUGUACUCAAUCUUUUUGUCAAAGAUUUCUUAAUGUACAAAUCCUCCAGCUUCUUCCAAAGGCCUGCAGUUGUUGUUUCAUCUCCCACUUCUCUCAGUACUUCAUCCCCCAGACUUAGGAUUAUAGUGCUAUGAGCCUUGUCCAUGGUGUCUUGCAUGUCUUCAUCUUUGACUUUGCUGAUCUUUUUCGAAGUUCUUAGAUCCUCCAACACUUCUUCGAUUCCUUGAUAGACCAGCAAUGCUCUCAUCUUCAGCCUCCAAAGAUAGAAGUCAUUUUCCCCGUGAACUUCUCCACAUCAAGCUUAUGUGUUGCCAUUCUUGCUCACAAGAUUAAGAGAUGUGAGCUCUGACACCAAUUUGUGAGAAUUAUGAUCAACCAGACCUAAUUCUUUCCCCAAGAAAAAUCUCCACACACUGAUCUUAUUGAAACAAGAACGAAUUCCCAAGAUAACAAUCAGAAAUAAAGCAAGAGUGUUUAAACAGAAAACCAAGAAUAAGAUAAUGAAAAGAAUUGACACAGAGAGUUAUAGAGGUUCGGCUGAGUAGCCUACAUCCUCUUGAGAAAUAGAAGACAUAGCUUUUCUUUGAUACUCAACAGUUUACAAGUUUCAGAUAAGUUGUUACAAGGAACAUUAUUCUCUAAGUUUGGUUCUAAAGGCCUUAUAUACAAUUCUGAAAGGAUCCAGAUAAAGAUGCUUCACGCCAGCUCUCAUUUCUGGGUUUGUUACAACAAACCCAGAAAAGUUCCCGCCAAUACUAACAGUCGUUAACAACCCUUUAGCUUGAAACAACACUAGCAGCUGUCGUUUAACUAAAGAUUGAAUCUGUUGAUGCUCGUGCAAGUCACGUGCAUUACUUAAGUUCUUUGUAUGACAGAGCAUUGUUGUCGUAUGAGCAGCAUCAUCUGUCUGAUUGCUUUGUUGUUUCAUAUUCAAUUCCUAAAACGACAAAGUCAUCUUCUCCAGAAUUCUUAAUUCAGGUUCACAGCUAACAGUUUUGAAGAUUACCAUAUUUAUAUAUGGUUAAUAGAGUUCUCGACAAGCUUCCAAAAGAAAAAGGAAGGAAAGUUUAUCAAGUAGGUUUGAGUAUAGAAAUGCACCUAUUACCGAGCACACUUAACUAAUGAAGAUCUCAAUGAUGUCACAUCUAAAAAUCUGUAUCAAUCUUGUAAUGAAGAGAAUUUGACAAAGAAGAAACGUGGCCCUACUGUAUGUCAUGAUGUGGCAAAUGAAGAUGGGAAGAAGAUAGUCUUAGAAUUGAAUAAUUUGGGGCAACCUAUUGGAAAAUCUUAUGUACUAUAUUCAUCGUUUUAUGGUAGUUUGUUAAAGAAGGUUGUGUCUAUAAACUAUGAUGAUUGGAGAUAUGUUCCAAAACAACAGAAAGCUUUAUUGUUGAGAGCACUCGAGGUAAACAUGUGUACACAUAUUUUUUUAGAGUGUAGUUCAAAUUAUAACAUGACACUAACAUUAGUUAAUUUUUUAUUUGCUUGAAACAUUCAGCAUAAGUUUGUUUUGGAAGGAGAUGCAAUCAAAAAGUAUACGCUACAGAUGAUGGAAAAGUCUGGCGAGCACAUAAAUCAAGAUUGACAAAAAAAGUUGGAUGCUCGACCUAGUCUUGUCAAACCUGACGAGUGGGAGACUUUUAUUAAAAAAAAAGACCUCAAAAGCCUCAUGGUAUGUAUGCUUAUAGUCCUAGUUGAAACAUUCAUUCAUGUAUAUAUUAUUUUAUUUAGAAUGAUGUAAUUAAUGUAUAUUAAAAUAGGAUAAAAACAAUGUUUUUAAGGAAAUGAGGGCGAAACAAGAUAUUCCAUAUACCGGAAGUCGAAUGGGAUAUGCUCGUAUGCAAGAUAAGAUGGUAAAUCUUUAAUUAUAUUCAAACAAUAUAGUAGUUAUCUAGCUAGCGUCUGUUAUUACUUUGGGAUGUAUAUAGUUAAUUCUGACUUAAAAAUAUUUUUAUUCAAGAAGAAAACAGUUCAAAUCCAUCAGAAAUAACUCGAAUUGAUGUUUGGAUUAAAGCACAUACUAAAAAGAAUGGUGAACCAUCUAGUUCAAAAGUUGUUGAAGUGAAGGUAUAUGUCAAAUUUAUUGAUGAUAACUUAAAUAUGCUAGCAAUUAUUAUUGGAAAUAUUAUAAUAAAUAACUCUUUCUUGAGUUUAGGAAAUGUAUGAAGCUGAAAAAAAUUCAAAUUUGUUAGAAGCAGAAUCAAAAUCUGUUAAAAAUGUUAUACUUUCAAAGUUUAUUGGACUUGAGUAAGGAGGUCGUGUUAGUGGUUAAGGAGCAAGAGUGAUGCUAUCUAAAUUAGAGGCAAUAUCUCAGCAAACUAAGAAGAAAGCCAGAAUGCAAGAACAAAUUGACACAUUACAAGACACAGUGAAGCAAAUGGAAGGUUUCAUGGAUGAUCAAAACAAACUCAUACAAAGUUUAAUGAGCAAAUUGGUAAUAGCAAGUACCUCAUUAAAUGUUACGUUAAUUACCUGUGAAUCUUAAUUUCAUAAAAUGGUGAAAUCAACUUCUUUUUUUAAUUUCUUUUUGUACAAAGUGAAGCAUCAAAUGAUGGAUAAAAUCAAAAUCUAUCUACAUCAACUCAAUCUAAUAGUACCCCACAGGUAAAGUUUAAACUUAUACAACAAUUUAUGCUAUCAUAAUUAAUAGUAUAGUAACUAUUUACUUAAUUAUAAUUAGAAAUGUCGUUUUGCUUAUGAAUGCAACAUGUAAGCCCAAAUCGGAAAGGCCAAAAGUGCAAGUUGUUGAAUUGGCUUGAAGUAGAUGAAGUAGUUGCCAUAGGACGUUGGGUAACAAAUGAUCCUAAUGCAAUGGUGCAUUGUGUAGCUCUUGGAAAAAAUGCUUCUCGUGUGUGGGUAGAUGAGAUGAAAAAUCCUUCUGCUGAGUUGUGGAAAAAAUAUGCAGAUAUUGGAAACAAUAGAAGAUGCUUUGGGAAGUUCAAUUGCAUGGCCAACAGAAGCGAUUAUUGCUAUGGAAGAUUAAUUUUGGUAUGAAUAGUUAAAAGUUUAAUUGAAGGCAAUAUUUUGACUUAGUGUUUUGGUUAGAUGAUUUUGAUGGGUCUAAUGAUAUAUAUCAUUGUUGGAGUGACUAUUGGUAUUUGUUAAACUUGGCAUUCACAAUUUUGAAUGAUGUUUACUGUGAUGCUAGAUCUUCUUUUGCACAUUAACUUUAGUUUGCCUUUGUAUAUGUAUGAUAUUAAUUUUUUUACUCUUAAUAUACCUGAUGGUAUUUGUUGUUCAUGAAUAAAUGAAAUGUAGUUUGUUCCUUUUGUUAAAUUUGCCAUUUUUAAUUAUAAAUCAUAUUGUAUUCGAUUAUGUUAUAAAUAUCUGAUAAAUGUUAUAAAGUAAAUAAAAAGUUACAAAAUUAACCAAGCACAAUAGCAUUCCAUAAAAGAUUAUUAUAGCAUUAUCAAACUUCAUAAAAUGCUAUCAAUAGUUUGUAGCAUGAAAACAUGUUAUGGCAUUUCGGCUAAUGUUAUAGACUCUUUAGCUAAAUUAUAACAUUUAUAUAAAUGCUAUAAAUUACUUGAAUAACAAUUAUUCCUUUAUCAUUUAAAAACCAUUAUAAACAAAUAGCACUCCAAAAAAAUGCUAUAUCUUGAUAUUUGAUAACGUUAAAUAAAUGCUAUUAUAGUUUUAUAACAACAUUUAAAAGUUGCUAUACAUCUAUAGUGGUUUUUAAAAACACUAUAGAGAAAAGAUAGCAUGGGCAAUCACGACGUUAAAUAAACACUAUAAUAACGAUAAUAUAACUUUUUUUCGCUCUAUAAAAAGUCAUAUUUGUUGUAGUGAAUCUAGGCUCCUACAUAACGAUAUGUCGCCAUUACUCUUGUAGAUCACGAUCCAGCACCAACAAUCUUUUUAGAUCACGAUCUGUCACCAUGAUCUUUCAGGUUAUGACUCAAGUUUGAUCUACACUUGACGUGUGAAUGCCUUUAUCAGCACUAAAAGCAACUAGCAAGAGAAAAUAUUUCUCUCAAAAUUAGAGAGAAAAACUCUUUUUCUUUGAUCUGUAUAUUAUUGAUCCUCUCAUCUUUUAGAGAAAAAAAGCCAUUUUAUUCUAUUUGGUGGAAACCCUAGGCUCCAUAUUUAUAUAUUUUUGAAUUCUAUUAAAUCAAAUUUGAUUUAAAUUAAAAGACAAUAAAACCAAAAGUGGCAUUACUUGUUCUUGUUAUAAAGGCCUACCUUGUGAAAUAACACAAGGCCCCUUACACACAAGCAUAUUAAAUGGAGCCUCCCACUAAAUAAUAUAUUUAAACUUUUAACCCAAAUAGCUAGUUACCUUACUUAUUAAUCCAGUAGCGGCGCAAUCAAUUAAAUGAGCUAACCCGGGGAUCAUAUUGGUACAUACAAUAGUGGCUACAAUAAUUAGGUCUGUAAUUAAACUAGCCCAAUUAUUUAAUUCCAAAUCUAUUCCACUAAAAGAUUGGAAUUGACUUCCAUAAUUAUAUGUUAUCUAGGACAGUGUUCUCAAAUAAUAAUUUAGCCCAUGCCAUAUUGAUUUCUUUACUGAACAAUUCUUUAUACCACAUCGCUAAAUAAAUUGAUCUCAACUGUCCAAUCAAUUUAAUUACAUCUUGUUCAUUGACACUUAUUGGUUUUCUCUAAUGAUCAUUUUCAACAUACUAAUUAUGUUGACACACUCUAACCAGAGAAUUCUAUGAUCAAAUGCUGAAAACCCAUAAAGAGAUGUGUUGUACCAAUUCUAUAAUUUUAAUCUAUAAUCUCACUACUCAAAAUUGCUUCCACGAAGAUACCGGGUAAUCUUGACUACAAAUGUAUGUCACACCCAUUGGUAACUCAAAUGAAAUGACAAUCACGAACAUGAAACUAUAAUUAACUCAAGAUUAAGAUUGCAAUAAAAUCAAUGCCUAUGAGAGUUAAUAAGUCUGACAGUCAUUUCAACGUUAAUUAAAUCUCAUAUGUGAUCUUGUUCAAUGUAGUCAAACUACAUCAGUAAAUUCAUACAUGAUUAAGACAAAUCAUUCAAUGAAUUUACUACAAUCUCAACAUAAAUAAGGUGCCCAACUCUAUUUAUCAACUGCGAACUUAAUUUAUUUAAUCAUAAGAUUACUUGUAUAUUAUGUCUUCUGUGAAUCCAUAUGAUGAUCACAUAAAUACAUAUAAUAUGAUUAAAAUGACCUUAUUCAAAAUAUUUAUGCAAUUGAAAAUAUCUCAAAUAUUUUAUUAAUCAGAAAAAUAAAUAAAUCAAUAUACUUUAAAGAGCACAUAACCCCAAUAACUAGCACCACGUACCUUGCUUAGGAAAUUUUUAACUAAAAUAUCAUAUCACGCAAGGACAUUAUAUAUUUCUUUUUUGAUUGCUACUAUUGUAGUUUCCAUGAAAUUGAUAACUUCAAAAGAACAUUCUUGAAUAUACCCAUCACAAUCAACAUACCUUGAAAUGAUAGCCAUCUAACCUUUACAUUACUACUAUUAUUUGCUGAAAAAAUUAUUACAAAAUCAGCUAAAAAACAAAUUUCUCUUUUUUGCAACUCAUGCUAUUUAAUUCAGUCAAUCAUUUAAUCCAUAUUUCCUACAACUUCUAAAUGGCCUUCCAUACUUCUAAAUCUAUCAUGAAAGCAAUAAGGAACUUUUUAUGGUCUCAUGAUAAAGAAGUUGGGAAAAUUAUUUCUAUUUCUUGCGAUUAAGUCCGUCUUAUUAAAUUAGACGAUGGACUUGGUCUUAGAAAUCUUCAUAACAUGAAUUAUGUUGCCAUAUUAAAGUUUACAUAGGUCCCUAUGACUUCAAAUUCCAUUUGGGGCAUUUUUUUUCAAGAACCGAUUCGAGAUUCCCCUCACUCAUGGUCUAAUGGCUAUAUAUUUUCUUCUCUAUAGACUAGAAUUAAAAGUGUACUUGUCUAUAUUCUGGAAAGAACUAGAUGGCUGGUUGGUAAAGGUAAAUAAAUAUCUUUUUGGAGAAGCAAAUGACUUAAUUCUUCCAUCAUCAAUUAUCUACAAGUUGGCCUAAAAUGUUUGAACUCUAAUGUUGUAGCUGUAAUUCAUAACCAGAGAUGACAUCUUCCUGUUGCUUUAAACUUCUCUUUUCCUAGCAUUGUUGUAGCAAUUUUGCAAGUUUAUCUUCCAUCCAAGUUAGUAUAGGACCAUUCCUUUAAUGGUGAACUUGAUUUUGCAGACAGUUAUAACUUCUUCGAUAAGCGAGUUACUCAAGCUCCAAAGGGAACCUCAAUUUCGAAAAGUUAUGUUUCUUCAAAAUUUUCAACUUUGGCUUGGCAAAUUUUUAAUGGAAAGCUUUCAAACAGAUGACCAACUUUAGAUUAGUGGUUUUCAAAUGGUCUCAAUUUGCCUUUUAUGUAACUUCUUCCAAAUUAUCAAAUCUGCAUAUCAUCUUUUCAUCUCUUGUUUUUUUGUUCAAAAGCUUUGACAUUGGCUUUCAAAUAUGUUCAAGACUUCUGUCCCGCAUUAUGGUUCUCCUUUAUCAUUUUAGUAAGAGAUUGUUUCUCUUACUAAAUUCAAUCCUCAACUCUAUCACCUUUGGAUUGCAGCUUAAUAAAUAUUUUUUUGUCAAAUUUGAAAGUCUCGGAAUAAGCUCAUAUUUGAAGAUUCGGCUCCUUCAUUUCAUGGAUGUUGUGUUUAUAUUAAGGCAGCUUUGAAGAAGCUUCAAUGUCCUUGUUAUAUGUUUCCUAACUUAUAAGCAAAUUUUUUCUACUUUUUGUGUCUCUCAACCUGGGUUAUGCUCCAAGAAUUACCUAUCAUUUGGAAUAAGCCUAGCUCUCCAUAGAUAAAGCUCAAUAUAGAUAUCGUAUCUAAAGGAAACUUGAGCUUUAGUACUAGUGGCGGUGCAUUUACAAACUCAACAAGUUAUUGUCUUGGAUGCUUUACUGUUAAGAAUGAAUUCUGAAGAUUAUGUCAGCAGCUGAGUCAACAAGUUUGUUGAGUCAUUGCCACGUCAGCAAUUGGUUAUAUAGGCAAAUUAGUUCUUAGACUUUGUUAUAUCUUUCCCACCAAUAGUUUGUUACAAGUUAUUGAAAAUGGAUAGGUUUUUGUAAGCAUUAGUUUAAGGAUCAAGAUCGGUAGAAAGAUCAAGAUCAGGAAGAGCUUCUCUUCGAAGGUGCCGCGAGCCCCUCCUCGGGAGGAGUCCUCCCUUUGCUCCUUAACCUACAGGGUAUUAGCAGGUUGAGGUUAUUCACAUGCUUUUGUUGCUGUAGAAUCUUCUGGACGCAUGAAUAUAAAGCUCUAUAAUCCUUCAGUUUAUUUUCUCAUAUUAAUAAAAAUGAAUUCGGUCUAUUGAUUUUCUCUCUAAAGCUUUGGAAAUUUUCUCUUCAACCAAACACAAUAUUUUCUUUAAUUGGUAUUAGAGCCACUUUGUUCACAAGUUAUGGCUUCUUCAAGGUCGAAUCCUCCAACACAUAUCUCUUCUGGAACAUCAUUUACCUUCACCACACCAAUCAAACUUGAUCGCACAAAUUACACGAUCUGGAAACAAUAAGUACUCUCUUCAAUUCGUGGCAAUGGUCUUGAAAGCUGCGUGGAAACGUCAAGAUCAACUUCUACUUAGCUGGAUCAUAUCUUCAAUGAGUCUUGAAAUUCUCAGUCUUGUGGUAAGCUUACAAACUUCUUUUGAGCUAUGGAAGAAUCUAGAAAAACAAUUUGGUUCUGAAUCAAUGGCUAAAAAAGUUCACCUUAAAAUGCUUCUUAAUAAUCUAAGAAAAUGAUCUCUGUCUAUGACUGAAUAUUUCACAUAACUCAGAACUAUUAGUGAUGGUCUUGCUUUAGCUGGAAGUCCUAUAAGCAACACUGAUCUAAUCACUCAUCUUAUCACUAGAUUAGAUCAUUCCUAUUAUCUUGAGUGAAGCUUAUGCUAUGUUAUUGACGCAUGAGGCUAGACUUGAAAAUAGUAAGAUUGUUGACAGUAAAGAGGCUAAAAGCAACUCUAUGGCUAAUGUAGCUCACACUGGUAACUUUCAAAAGAAAGGUAAUGGUAAUGCUCAGAAUAAUUGGAAUAAAAAUGGAGGUGGUAACUGGAAUAAUUGUAACUGGAAUCAAAAUUUUACUGGUAGAGGUGGAGGGUAUCAAGGUCAAGGUUCGGGAAGAGGUAACUGGAAUGGAAAUUUUAGAGGCUUUGCAAGUGGUUUUAAUACUGGGGGUGUUAACAGUGGAGGAUUUGCUGGUAAUUUUAAUAAUGGAAGUACUAAUACUGGUGGCUUUGACAAAGGUGGUUUUGGGGGUAAUAGAAAGAACUUUGCUCAGGGAGGAUUUGUAUCUCAGAUUUGCUUUAAGUUCAAUCAUAUUGCUACUAAGUUUAGAGACAGGUUUAACAAGAACUUUGCUCCAAGUUUUCCAGUUCAAGGCUAUCCUCCAAACCAAGGACCAAAAUCAGCUUAUGUGACUACAUCUGAGGGAGUUGCUGAUCAGGGCUGGUAUCUUGACAGUGGAGCUACUCACCAUCUUACUAACUCAAUUCAGAACUUAACUGAUGGUAAAAUUUACUUUGGCUAAAAAUCUUUACUUGUAGGAAAUGGUCAAGGACUUCAUAUCACACAUGUUGGUAAUGCAUGCUUGCAUACUUCCUUUGGUUCAUGCAUUCAUCUUCAUAAUACCCUCUGUGUUCCAAGAAUUACCAAAAAUCUCUUAAGUAUUUCUAAACUUCUUUCUGAUAGUGACAUAAUUGUUGAGUGUUAGAAAAUGCAUAUUUAUAAAGGAGAAAACCGUCAUUUUACAUUUCAAGUCUUACUAACAACCCUUACUUUUAUGUAUUUAACAUUCUUAUGAUUUAAUUACGUGUGUUUUAUUUUAAUUAAGUAAUUUAUGUAUUUUAGGGGCAUUAUAGUCAUUUCACAAUAAAGGAGAGAUCAGACGGCAAAACGGACAUCACUUUUGAACUCAGGACGGUCGAAAACCUUAGGAGGAGCAUAAAAGGAAAAAUGGCACUAUUCACAUGUACGGUACUAUUCACGUGUACGAUACUGUAUACGUUACUGUUCACGACACUGUUCACAUAGACGGAUGAUGACGUGGCAUUGACCGAUGAUGUGGCAUUGACUGAUGAGGUGUCACGAUCCUGUUGGACUAAAAUUCUUAUGUACUGUUGAUGGUGACGUGGCAGCAUAUCAGUGGACGAAAAAUCUCGCGUACGGUGCAUGCAUCACACAGGAUUAUUUUCAACCAAACCGCGUUACUGUUCAUCCGGGUCAAACCGCGUUACUGUUCAAAGUCGGGUCAAACCGUGUUACUGUUCAUCCGCGUGGUCAAACCGUGGACUGUUGACUGAUGACGUGGCGCAAUCCUGAGCGUCCAAACUAUUUUUAAUCCGAUGGCCAUGAUUUACUCCAUGUAUCUAUAAAAAGGGGGCCUCCCCCCCCUAAUUUGAUAUCUCUGAAUCCAUUUUUGGGAUCCAUUUUCUGUAAUUCCCUCUCCAUCUUGUAUUUUCUUCGUAUUUUAAUAAAUUUUCAUUUUGCCCCUAGUUCAAUUAUGAGUGGCUAAUUUUCUUUCAAGCUUGGGUUGAAGGUGAAGUCUCAACAUGUGUCAUGGGCUUAAUUUGGUAAAUUUAUUUUCUCUUCCCCUCUAGUUUUUGUGGAUGUUUUGACUUCUCGUCGACAAAUAAUACUAAUCUUGUCUAGUACCGCCUUGGUUACACCGGCCCUCUAGUACAAGGUUAUUAUUAUUUGGCACGAUAAGCCCUUAGCACCAUAUUGAUUAGAGCGUGGUUCAUGAGGUGUGGAUUCCCCCCUCAUGAUUUAAUUGGCAUUAAUACGGAUUAUUUAGCCCAUGAUGCAUGUUGAUAUGGAUCCAGAUACCCAAGUACGUCAUUUCAAUAGAUCUUCGCUUCAAUUUAUUCUCGUCAUUUCAAUUCCAAUUUCAGAAUUUAUUAUCGCCAUUUUAAUUUAAGUUUUAGCAUAUUCCAAAUCAUUUCCACCAAAAAAUCCAACCACUCAUUUACAAAAUUAAUUCUAUACACAAUUAAAAUCCACCUCCUCGUGGGAUCGACACUCGUCACCAUUAGUCUAUACUACAAUAGAUUCGUGCGCUUGCGAGUACAUUAAAAUUUGCACAACAAGUUUUUGGCGCCGUUGCCGGGGAGGUAAGUAAUUUUAAUUCAUAAAAUUAAUUUUUGUGAAUAAUUUCUUUUAUUUGUUUUCUUGUAUUUUUUUUUAUUAUUAAAAAAAAAAGAAAAAAAAGUGAAUCUACAUUUAAAGGUUAGUAUUUCUUUUCUUUUUCUCUUCUUUAAAAUUUUGUAAUUUAAUUUUCCAUUUAUUUUUCUUUGUAAUUUUUUUUUUGUUUAUCUUAUUAAUUUAAUUUUUAGUUAAUUUCUUUCACGUAUUUAUUUUUGUGUAUUUUUAUAGAAAGGUUGUAAUAGCGCAAUAAGGUUAGUAUCGUAAUUUCUCCCUCUUCUUUAUUUUUAUUUGUUUUGUUCCCAUCUUUAUUUUUUGUUACUCACUCCACGAUUGAGCAACAGAAUCGCACCAUUGAUGGACUACGAAAUGAGUUGAGAGCAGGCUUCAAUUCACAAGCUCAAUCAGUUUCAAGCCUGGAGAAGAUGGUGGGACAACUUGCUUCUUCAGUUCAAACCUUGGCAAUGACCGUUGAGAAAGGUAAGUUUCCAAGUCAACCAGUGCCUAAUCCUAAAGGAGUACAUGAAGCAAGUACCAGUUCACCACAACAGCAUGGAGAGGUCAAAGCAGUAAUGACCUUGCGAAAAGGAAAAGAAGUCGACAACAAGGUGGAGAUGCCAGUGACAAAAGAAAAUCAAAUUGUACCUGUGAAUGUUGAUGACUCAUCACCGGAGGAGAAAGAAGAAACCAACCCACAAGAAUAUGUUCCCAAAGCUCCAUUUCCUCAGAGGUUAGCGAAAGGAAAAAAGGGAAAAUCCACAGGUGAGAUUCUUGAAAUCUUCAAACAGGUAAGUGUUAACAUCCCUUUGCUUGAUGCUAUUAAACAAGUUCCAUCUUAUGCCAAGUUUCUUAAAGACCUUUGUACUAAAAAGAGAAACAUGCAUGUUCAAAAGAAGGCAUUUUUAACAGAAAACGUUAGUUCUAUA
rnacentral:lncRNA from 1 species